rnacentral:lncRNA from 1 species
CCUCUUAUGAAUACAAUCACUCUCGUAUUUAUAAGCCAUUUUUCGAUGAUAGAGCUUUCAAAUCGACGAUUCAUACCGUUAAAUAUUAUCUAGAGCAUUUAAAACUUCUAAAAAUCAAAUUUCAUAAUUUUUCGACAUUAUUUACCUUACGAUAAAAAUGUCACAAAAUUGAUAAUUUUUAACAAUUGGUAUGAGGUACUUGCUAGUUUAGUAAUGUGAAAGAGUUAGAAUAGGUUGAAUUUUUAAUAAAAAAUUUUAUUCACUAUCUAGAUAAAGAUCAAUAAUUCCGAUCUUAAAUUGAAAGAUCCGAUCAUUUAUUUUUCGGACGUCGUUCGAUUUUAACCGUUCAUUUUAUGCCUGUUUGAUAGAUUUUAUUAUAAUUUCAAAAAAUUAUGAAAUUUAUUUUUUAGAAAUUUUAAAUGCUUUAGAUUAUAUUUAAAAGAGCGAAUCGUCGAUUCGAAAGUUCCAUCAUUGAAAACAACUUAUGAGUACGAAGGGCUCUCUACUCAUAAGAAUAUAGUAGCCCUACUCUCUCUUUUUCUCUUUCUUUCUCUCUCUCUCUCUAUAUGUAGAGAGGCUGGAAUGCUUCUAAUAGCACCAAAUUAUUGGUGCUAUUAGAUUUUCGAUCCUUGAAUAAAGGGAUGUGCUGUUAGAAUGAUAGUGAUCCUCUAGAGUUGAGUAGAUGGUUGGUUGAAUAGUAUGAUUUAUCCUAGAGUAGAUUGUUGGUUGAAUAAUAUGAUUUAACGGAUAAAGAUGGUCAAAAGAAAAAUCUAACGAUUGCAAACUUGGUAGCACCAAGUGUUUGGUGCUAUUAGAAGCACCCCAAUCGGACUCUCUCUCUCUAUAUAUAGCUGAAUUCAAUAAUUAUUUCUAAUUUUGUACUUAUUUAAAAUAAUGAUAAAAUAUAGAAAGGUAAUUGAACUAAUUUUUAAUGCAAGGAUAGGAGGGACAGAGCCUAGAGUGCGAGGAAUUCUACACUGUCACACUUGCACCACGUCAUCAAUAACAAGCCAAUCACAUUCCUUCUUUUCAAACAAAAGUACAAUAAAAAUACUUUUUUACAAUCAUGAUGGGACAUAUAUUCUUAAAAGGAUUAAUUUGAUUGGUUUGUUACGCCACGUUACUAAUAUACCCGUUGCAUUCUAGAAUUUUUCCUAGAGUGCAAGAUAUUUUUUUCUCUAAUUUUGCUUCUCUUUCUUUCAAAACAGUGGUACUGCUUUCAUAUUUUUUAAAUUAAUUUUGAUGAUUAAACAUCCAAAUCAACGAUUGGCACUACUAAAGUUAACUAAAUUAUUUAAAGUAUUUAAAAAAUAAUUUUUUUAUUUUUUAAUAUUAUUUAUCUAGUAAUUCAAAGAAUUCAAAAUAAAAAAUUUUAGUGGUCCAUACGAGCUAUUUGUAAGUUUAAUAAUAUAAAAAUAUUUAAAUUAUGUGAAAUUUUGAUAUUUUUUUUAUACUAUUUAAAAUAAGAUCAAUAUCUUUAAUCUAAAAUCUUAAUAUUGUACAUUAUAUUUUAUGUGAUUUUUAUGUUUAAUCAUUGAUUUCGAGCCCUUGCAAUUACCAAGUAUAUGAUAUCAAAAAAUUACGAAAUUAUUUUCUAGUUACUCUAAAUACUCUAUAUCAUUUAUAGCGGAACUGAUCAUGGAGUUAGAAAUUUUACCAUUGAAACAACUUCGGAGUAUAGAGGUUUUUGUACUUCUAAAAUUAGAUCGGUUGAAAUUUAUAUUUGUAAAUGUAUGCUUAUCAAAAUUUUACUUAUAAAACUAGACCUACAUCCUGCCAUAUGUCAUUUAUGUUUUAAAAUACUAAAAAUGAUUAAUCAGAUUCUCCAGACAUAACACAAGACGGUUAAUUAAUUCAAGUGAUAUUAGAUUCACAACUCAAAUGGCAAAAGACUUGGUGGUCGGUACCCGAGACUCAAGUUCGAAUUCUAGUUGAUUCACAUUUCUAGUUAAGUUUAUUUCAAAAUGAAAUAAACGAAGCGGGUAGCGUGCUACCUAUCUCUCUCAAAAAAAAAAAAGAAAAAAGAAAAAGAUAUUAGAUUCACAACUCAUGGACUACAUCUCCAACUAGACCAUCCCAAAUUCAACAGAUUGAUAGGCAUAUCAGAAUGGUGUAUCUCGAGUAUUGGUAAGUUUAUUAGUCUAUAUUUUGUGUUUUGUGGAUUACUAUUAUCUUUUUUUCUUUUUCUUUUUUGAAUAGAUAUUAAGGGUUUAAGUUUAUGACUAUCUCGGUACCUUUUACCGUGAUCAUAUGUGUGUAUAAAUAAAUAUUAAUAAAUUAGAUCAAAAAUUGUAUAUGUCGAGCUCCAAUAUAGCUAAAUUGAUGCGCAUAUGGGCCGAAAAAAUUUGAUAGCCAAUGACUUGGUGCUAUUAAUAGUAUAUUAACCUAGUUCUAUAUAUAUCGCAUAGUAUUCUAGCUCAAUCUAUAUAUAUGUAGAUAUAUAGAGUUGAGCUAGAAUACUAUCGAUAGCAAACAGACUUUUUGGCCACACAUUUGUUUUUGAUGAUGGAGCCUUCGAAUCGACGAUCGGCACCCGUUGAACAUGAUCUCUAUACACUUGAAGUGUUUAGAAAUCAAUUUAAAUCUUUUCGACAUCAUUUGCCUAAUGACAAAGGUUUCAAAAAUUUUAAUUUAAUGGUCGAUAUGAGACGUUUUCUCGUUUAACCGGAUAAAGAUAUCCAAAUCAAAUUGUUUUUUGUUAGAAAAUUCUUUAAACAUUUUUAAAUAAGAUCUAUACUUUUGAUCUUGAUUACAAGACUCCUAUCAUCAUUUUUUUGAGAAUAUUCAUACUCAGCGGUUCAUUUUGGUCCCUCGAUGGAUAAGAGAACAAUAUCGAAAAAUGUAAUUGAAUUUGAUUUCUAAAUACUUCAAAUGAUAUAGAUCAUGUUCAACAGUACGAUCAUCAUAUUGGAGGCUCAUAUCGAAAUAAAUGGUGGCAAAAAACGAUUUGCUAUCGAUAGUAUUCUAGGCUCAACCUUUAUAUAUAUAUAUAAUUAUUAUAAUUUUGUGUAAUACUAAAUACAAAGGACAAUACUAGGUCUAUAGUUUACUUUGGAUUGUAAUCAUACAAUUUUCUAGUUCACAAAGUCCUUUCUUCUUUACUUGAUCUUACCAUUUUCUUUCUCUACAACUAACAAAGAAUUAAUAAACCCUACAAGGCUUGGAUGAAGGUUUUUUUUUUUUUUUUUUUUUUUUUUUUUUUUUUUUAAUUUUUGGCGCGGGGGGGGGGGGGGGGUGGUGUGUCUCUGCUUUUCGUACUGUGUAGGGUAGAGUUGAGCUAGAAUACUUUAAAAUACCAGAGGGUGGUGCUUGUGACUUUUUACCCUGGAUAGAGAAAUGUAGGUUGAGAAUGAUGGUGGUAGGAUGUGGUAGGUGUGGUAGGUGGAUAGUGUUUGAUCCAAAGGGCUAUUAGUAAUCAAGGAGUAUAUCCAAGGGCUAAAACUAAUAGCACCAAAGGAGUGAUACUUGUAAAAGUAUUCUAGCUCAAUUCUAAUAUAAUUAUAUAUAGAAUUUUGUGUAAUACUAAAUACAAAGGACAAUACUAGGUCUAUAGUUUACUUUGGAUUGUAAUCAUACAAUUUCUCUAGUUCACAAAGUCCUUUCUUCUUUACUGAUCUUACCAUUUUCUUCUCUACAACUAACAAAGAAUUAAUAACCCUACAAGGCUUGGAUGAGAGUUUUUUUUUUUUUUUUUUUUUUUUUUUUUUUUAUUUUUUUUUUUAUUUUUUUUUUUUUUUUUUUUUGGCGGGGGGGGGGGGUGGUCUCUGCUUUUCGUACUGUUAGGGGGGUGUUAAUUAGACUUAGUAUUCCUCUUUUGAAAGAAGAAAGCUCUGAAAAUUAAUCUUACCUUGAGGAGCACCGCACCGGCCGGUGGAAUGUACUCAAACAUGUCGCCGGCGACCGCGUCGAUGAGCUCGCUUUUGGGUGCGGCGGCCACGACGUGCGGGAGCUCGAGGACGGUGCACUUCACCUCCGGAAACGCCUCGGCGAUCAUCUUGGCGGUCAUGCCGGUGCCGCCGCCGACGUCAACCAGCGACCCGAUCCCGCGGAAGACCUGCGGGCAGCACGCCACCGCCGCCGCCGUCGUCUGCCUGGUCUUGCACGCCAUCGCCUCGUUGAACAGCCUGCCCAUGUGCGGGCGCUCCUGGGCCACCUUCCACAAGUUCCUCCCGCCGUGCGCCGUCUCAAAUGCAUUCAUAUUCGCACCUUCCUGCGUCAGCCACUCGCUCAUGCGGUACAUCGGCUUCACCAUGUCGGGCUCCAAGCAGGCCCGCACGUACGCGCUCAUGUUCGGGCUGCCGUCAUCGGCGGUGACGAGGAGCCGCGAGAAGGGCGUGAGGAGGUAGCCAAUGCUGCCGUCUCCGUCGUCGUCGACGCCGCUGUCGCCGAGAGCCUGCACGGCGAAGACGCCCUGCGCGGAGAGAAGGCGCAUGAGGCGGCGGAGCAUCGGCUGCUUCUCGAGGGGCACGGGAAUGGAGAGCGCGAGGGCCGGGAGAGGCAUGGGCUCGCCGCCGUAGGCGUGGAUGCGGUCCGGGAUGCGGAGGUCGACAGCGCACUUGAGGGCGAAAGGGCCAACGAUGCUGAUGAUUCGGUGUUCAAUCGUCGACUGGACGACCAGCAGCUGGUCGUCGGUGAUCUUCAUCUCGCCUUUGCCGGGCUCCAUUUCUAAUCUAUAGAUUGUUUGGAUUCUUAAUUACUUGGAAGUGGUGGAGGAUAUAGAGGCUUUAGGCUUGCCGGUAAAUAUAUAGUGCUUUCGGGGGAUAGAACACUACCAAUCAACCAUUCAAAAUAAAAUUACAAUGAGAGUAGAGAAAUGUUAACUUCAAAACUUAGUCUUAUAUAAUUAUGAUUCGGCAAAAAAUUCAAUACUGGUAUGACAUAAAUAAAAUUUGUAUUCCGAAUUUUAAAUUCGUUGAAAAAUACGGUUUAAAAAACAGAUUCGCCAAUUAUUUGGAUACACAAUUAUACGAAAAUUAUACGUUUACCAAUUAAAAAUUUGGUACAAAAAUUCGGCUGUUAAAUUAAAUAUUUUUCCCUCGAUUUAUGAUACUACCGUAAAUAGUUAUAGCUCUUAAGAAUAUAAUAAUAAAGAGCUACAAAAUAAAAUAGAUUAAAUAAGAAAAAAUAAUAGUGUAGUUUAUUAUCAUUCCAUAUACUCCUGUAGCUCAUCAUGUUUUUUAAUAAUUCGCCAAUAAUUCGACAAUAAUUCGCAAAUAAUGAAAAAAUGGUCUUAUUUAAAAAUUUUGCGCGUUUUUUUCGCUGAAUAUUUUGGUAUUCGCGAAUUAUUCGUGAAUAAUAAAUCUAAGAUAAAAAAUUAUAUUUUAUUUUGAUUUUUUAAAAAUAAAUCACAUACGAAUUGUUUUAUUUAAAUUUUCAAUAAUCGACAAAUUAACUAUCGACUACCGUGGUUGCAAUCUCUUUCAGAACGAUGCCUGGAAAUUUUCUGGACACAAAUUUAGGAGACAGCAACGUUGUACGUACACUUCCCUCACAUGUGGUUCUUACAUUGGCCAUAACUAGAAAUAAUUGACUGAUCACGCCAUAUUCGCAUUCAUAGGUAGCAUUUUUCAAAUCUAAUUAAAUCUCAUCACUAUCCUAUUGAAAAGGUUGGAUUUAAGAUGCUAUAUACUAUUCUCAAACAAAUCAACUUCUCCGUACAUUAAACUUUUGCAAACUAGUCCCUCAACGAAGAGAAUUUACUGUUAAAUCCCCUCUCAAAUUUAAGUACACGCACCUGCUGACUAAAUAAUAUCAAACAUUUAAGGGGCUAGAGAAGUUAUAUAUAACAUCCUCCCUUGUUACGACGAAAAUCGAAAAGAUCUAAUUUGCCAGAAGCGAAAAUAUCAAAAAAAAUCCGAAAAAGAGAGAAGAAAAAUAAAACAUAUAAUAUUUACGUGGUUCGGUCACCGGUUUAUAUCCACGAGCGAAAACGAAGCAAAAAUCUUCAUUAUAAUCAAAAUGGUGUAUAAAAUAUACCUCUCUCGUAAAAUCCUAACUCCAAAAAUGCACUCAUAUUCUCUCUCUCAUCUGCCGCACCAAAUCAAUGGAAUAAAAGAUAUAUUUAUAAUAGUGGCUAAAUUCUAAUAUGAUUAGAAAUACAAAUUCACUAAGACUAGAAAUAUCUUAAUUAUAUUAGGUAUAAUCUAUAUUUAACUUAAUGAGAUAAUAAUCAAAACAGAAAAGAGUUAAAAAAUCUUGAGAUUUUAGAAUUUGAGACAUAUCUAAUAUCCCUCUAGUAUAUUGUCGAAUAUGGGUAAUGAAGUUGUCUGCCCAAAAGAAACAAAAGUAAAAUCUAUUUUAUUAAUAAAAAGAGAGACUGACCGUCCCCAGAGCAAGUGGCAAAGGACUUGGUGGUUGGUACCCGAGACCCAAGUUUGAAUCCUAGUUGAUUCACUUUUUCAGCUAAAUUUAUUUCUAAAUGAAAUAAACGAAGCGGGUAGCGUGCUACAUAUCUCUCAAAAAAUAAAAAUAAAAAUAAAAAUAAAAAGAGAGCUAUUUUGGAAUGAGCCCCAAGCCUUUCAGCUUGGAUUCGCCGCUGUGACUUGCUCUCUUUAAAGUAUGCUAGGUUCAACUACUUAGUUUGGACUAAACUGGGCUAUGUUUUAGCACGGAACUGGAAAUUCCAAAGAUAUAAGAUUUCGGCCUAAAUCUUCGGAUGGUUGAAACAUCAGAAAAGUAAACUACUAAAACUAUUAGAACUAUUACCGAUCGUCCCUAGAGCAAGUGGCAAAGGGUUUGGUGGUUGAUACCCGAGACGCAAGUUCGAAUCCUAGUUGAUUUACAUUUCUAGCUAAGUUUAUUUCUAAAUGAAAUAAACGAAGCGGGUACCGUGCUACCUAUCUCUCAAAAAAAAAAAAAAAAAACUAUUAGAACUAUUGCUACGAUUUUCGGCUGGAAUUAGAAAAACCUAACAAGUCUACUUUCAGUAUGAAGAAUAAAACUACUAUUUUCUAAAUAGAAUAGCCUUAGGCAUUGGACUCGUGGAAGUAAAGCCUUUUCCUUCAUCUUUUGUGUAGUAUUUAUAACUCCAUGCAUGUCCUGAUUUCGAGUCUGAUAAUAUCUAAUAAGAUGUAAUUUAAUAUUUGAUUUAUUUUGUCAUUUAGUAGCUCGUACUAACUACAAUAAGUAUUUUGCGAAUAAAUUAUUGAGUUAUUUUCUAAAGUUAAUAGUUUUGAUCACUUGUUAGCAACUAAAAACUAGAAUACUUCAUAACUAACUAGUAAAGAUAUCCGCAUGUUACGGCGGAUUGAUUUUAAAAAUAUAAUAAUUAACGAAAAUAAUGCAGUAAUCAGUUUCUGUACAACAGAAAACAAAAAGGAGUAAGAAAAAAACUAUCUCGAUAUUUUUACACAAAUAUAAAAUAGCAAGUAAAGGUUAUAAAAUUUAUAGAUCUGUUAAAAUAUGAAAUCUUAAUCGAUAAAUAAAAUAAAUAAAUAAGAGUCAUCCGCUAGCAAUUUAAUCUUCUAAAGUGACUUUGAACCCAAAAUAUCUGUUUAGUCAUCUUCAUAAAUUUCCAGCCAAGUUGUAUCUAGCGAGAGAGUGCAUUGCAUUGUAGUGGAUUGCACUAAGCGUAAUAAAGAAUCCAUAAAAUUACCUCACUCCCUAUAAUAGAAGCCCUCUAUUGUUGGUAUUGAUAUAAAAAAUUCUUAUUAGUACCUUAUUAUAAUAUUCAAUGUGAUCUAAUUAGCUGCAUGAUUUAACAGUAUAUGCCACUGGUUGUGCAUAGUACUUCGAUCUCACUUUCACUUCUUCUAGACGAUUACUUGUAAACAAAAGAAAGAGAAAUUUUUUUAAAGAAAGAUUAGAAUACCUUGAACAAAACAAAAGGAUCAAAAUGAUCUUCUUAGAAGUAAAUUUCAUAAAAUUUUUAUGAUUUUACAUUGGUUGCUAUUUAUUGGAUGUAUCUUUAUAUUCGUAAACAAAAAUAAAAGCUUGUUUUUCCAAUGGCUUAAGAAGAAUUUAAAAGAAAUAAUUACUGCAGUAUUCAUGGAGUGCAAGAAAUGUGAUCACUGUCAAAAGCAAUAGCGCUGAAGAAAAGGAGCAAUAGAACAAAUUCGACAACUUUACAAUAUUCACAACUUUAAUGCCAUUGUAAGAAAACAUCAAUCUUUUGUUAAGUGUAUUAUUCGGUUGUUUCUUAUUGUUGAAUACAAAAUUUAAUAAUUUUAUGAUGGUAUCAAUGCAGGAUGUCAUAAAUCUGAGUCUUGCCAGGUUCAUAGUAUUGUUAUUUUUUUUUUAUUUAUUCAAGCCAUGUCUUGAGUCUAAACAUUAAAGGGGCUAUGUUGAAUAUAAAAUAUAAAACCGCUUUCUAACAAAAGAUUUUCGAGGACAAUAAUUGCAAGGGAUAAUAUCCUAUAUACUCCUUAUACGUUUGAAAAUAUCCGAUUUGUUCCUACUUUUUUUUCUUUCUAAAAUACCUCUCAUAUGUUCCACCGUUAUUGCAAAAUACCCUCGCAGUUAUCUCCUGUUAAGUUAACUUGGGUUAAACAUGAGUUAAAUAUCUACCACAGUUAAAAAAAUUAAAACGCCAAUUUUGCAUUUAACUUAUUUUGUGCCCCUGACUUUAAGAGCAAAUAAGAAAGACAAUGAUAGUGAAAAGGUAUAUUUGAAAGGGCAAAAUAGUAAUUUUACAGAGAUAAUAUAGUUAAUUAACAGAUUUUAACUCUAGAGGUAUAUUAGGAAUAGGUUGAAACGUAGGAAGGGUAUUUUCAAUAUUAGCCUUCUAAAAGGGGUAAAUCGGAAAGUCAGAAACUUUUCAGGGGUAUAUAAGUAAUUGCCCCUAAUUACAAAUAAAACUAUGGUAUCUGAUGCAAUGGUAAACUAUUAUCUAAUGCAGUAUCUUCUAUAACAUAAAUUCUCAUUUGUUAUAUUAUCUAUAAAUUUAGCGUACCACAGUUUUGUACGAACAAAGAUUUACUCAUAAAAUAAAAUAUUUAAUUUAAAUCCCGACUCAUACCAAGAAAGAUGAUUAAUAACUAAAUAAAUCUAAUUCUAUCAUCUUACCGAGACUUGAUAUCCUUUAAUUUAUAACCGCAGGCAAAAUCGCCGACACCUCCGCCGAUCAUUGCUGCUUGAGUGCUCGUCGAGGAACCUCUACCUCACAGAGUAGCAAAGUUCAAAAUCCAAAAGGGUGUUAUAGAGCCCCGAGAUCUCCACGUAAUUGAACCCAGAUGCUAAAUCCACACUAAUUAAAAUUCUCAAGUCGAAUUGGACAUCGGAUGAGGCAGCGAAGGAGGAUGGGGUUUGAGAGGAGGCGAGGAAGGCAGUGCCUCUACCGCAGCCGACAGAGAUGUGACCGUGGCGAGGGGCGGAAAUUUAGUCUAACGUUUUGGUAGUGUAAUAUGCAUGCUCUUUGCAAAGAAACAUCAAUUAACUAAUAUGAAAUCCCAUGCAUGUUCUAUUGUCCACGUGGCGAUAUUAUCUUGAUUUGAAUUUUUGUGUGACCUACCUGUCAAACUAAUAUAUUUUGCUUAAUAUAAUUUUCAUUUAAUUGGCUAAGAGAUUUUUCAAAUUCUCUUUUGUGGGUCUCACCUAUCAUCUUAAUUAAUUAUAGACUUUUGUGGAAACCCAACUGUCAUAUUAACUUAUUUGCCCAUGGGUCCCACUGUCAGUUUAUUUUUCUCAUUCUCUUUCCAUUUAAUUGUUUCAGAGACUUUUCAUUCCACCUUCAUCUCUAGGGUCGCUUCGACUCCCGAGUAGCGACGCUUCGUUCCAACGUGUCGCAAUAAUUGUUUGGAUUCAUCUCAUCGAAUAUAUCUAUUUGCCGAAUCUGAAAGGCCAUCUAACGUUUAAUGCGGUAUUUCCCGCUGCCUUUUUUUUUUGUGCGGCAUAACAUCUCCACUCCUCUGCCAGUUUUCACUUUUUCUCUGAUUUGGUUUUCACCUUUCAUUCAUGUUGUAAUUUCAAUUUGUGUACUUAUUAUUUUUUUCUCAGAAAAUACUAAAUACUUUUAUUUUCUCUCAGAAAAUUUAUUGCUUCUGGCUGCAACAAUUAAUCAUAUUAACAGGUUCCUUUUUACUUUGAAUUUGAUCUUUUAUUUCUUUACUCCAAUUUUUCUAUUGUAUAUUAUAUUUUAAAUUAAUAUUAAUCUUUUUUAUUAUGAAUUUUUUACCUCUGUAUCUACAAUUGAUUGUCUCAGAUUUUUUAAGUUUCUUGGCCUAAUUUUUAUGUAUAUACUUAUUUUUUUUUGCAUAUUAUUUUACGCUGUUACAAGUGUAAAAUUCGUUGUAUCUAUGGUUGCCGCUGCUGCUGUUUCUUCAAUUGCUUCUGCUUUUUUUUUUCUUAUUCAAUUUUUUUUCUCUUAUGUAAUUACUAUUUCUUCUUUCUUUACCUUUUUUCACAGGAUAUUAAAUAUUUCUUUAAGUUAUUUAUACAUCAAAAUUUUUUUUUCUUAAGAAAAGAAUUUUAGUAUAAAAACGCAAGUUAAAUAUUGAAUAUUAUCUACUCGCAACAUCGUGCGGGUCACUGCACUAGUUAUAAUAAGCUUUACCAUGCACAGUUUUAUGUUUAUAGUUGCAGGUCUCAAAGGCAAAAUCAAGUUCAAAGUUAAGAAUAUAUAUUUCUCCUUAUCAACCACUUCCAACCAUUAAGACAAACAAAUAUUAAGAUAUUGUUUACACUGGCCUUUCCCUUUUAGUCUCCUAAAGGCUAUAUAAUAUCAUGUAAAAAUAUUAAUAGUAAAUAUAAAGAAACAAAAGAGAACACUCUUCAAGUUAGGGAUAAAUGUAUAUUUAUUUAUAUAAAUAUAUCUGAAUUUUAAUGGAUCCUUCCGAGUCAUCAAUUUUACUUUUUUGUAUAUUUAUUUAUAUAAAUAUACCUGAAUUUUAAUGGAUCCUUCCCGGUCAUCAUUUUUACUUUUUUGAGAGAAAAAAAAGAUUGUUUGUAUGCAAGAAAGGUUAGAAUUUCUAGAAAUCAAAUUUACAGCAUUUAGAAAAUUCUAAAAAUUAAAUUUUUUAAUUUUUUGACAUUAUUUUACUUUACGAUCUAAAGAUCUUAAAAUUAACAACUUUUAACGUGCGGUAUGUGAUGCUUACUAAUUCAACGGUGUAAAAAAAUCAAAAUUGGCUGAAUUUUUGAUAGAAAAUUCUAUUCACUAUCUAAAUAAAGACCAAUAACUCUGAUCUUAAAGAGGACGUUCAAUUUUGACCGUUCAUUUUAUGCCUUCUUGGUGGAGUUUAAUAUAACUUUAAAAAAACUACGAAAUUUAUUUUUUAAGAGUUUCAAAUACUCCAGAUUAUAUUUAAGAGUUUCAAAGUUCCAUUAUAAAAAAUAACUUAUAAGCACGAAAGGGUGUAUACUUAUAAUAUAUAUAUAUAUAUAUAUAUAUAUAUAUAUAGAGAGAGAGAGAGAGAGAGAGAGAGAGAGAGAGAGAGAGAGAGAGAGAGAGAGUUGGGUUAAAAUACUCGUAAUAGUAUCCGACUAUGGAUACUAUUAAGAGUAUCUAUAGUCGGGAUGAAAAAUUGCAAGGUUGGGAUGAUAGUGAUCCCUUAGAGUUUAGUGGUGGUUUCCUAGGUUUUAGUAGGUGGUUGCUAGAAUCGCAUGAUCUAAAGAAUGGAAUUGAUCAAGGGGUAAAUCUAAUAGUGAAAAACUGAAUAGCACAAAGUGUUUGGUACUAUAAAUAGUAUCUCGGAAAGACUAUAUGUAUGUAUGUAACUAUGUAUGUAUGUAUGUAUGUACCUUAUUUUACUUUUUAUCAUGCCUAUUGUUUACGUAGGGUGUAAUGUGGGUCGUGCCGGGCCGGCAUUGCCCACAUUUUUCGGGCCGAAACGGGCUAGGGACUGGCUCGGCCCGAGCUCUCUAGCCUUCGGCCCAGUACGGCCCCUCGGCCUGGAAGGCACGGGCCCUGCCGUGCUCCAGGCUAGCCCAUUUUUAAAUUUUUUUAAAAAAAUAUAUAAAAUAUAAGAAUAUAAACAAAAAAUUAUUUUUGUUUAAAUUGAUAUUUUGAUUAAAAUAUUUAAAAUUUAUAAAAAAUUUAUAAAAUAAUAAAUAUUUAAAUAUAUUAUAUAUAUAUUUGUAAUAUUUUUUUAAAAAAAUUUGAAAUCUUUUUUUGGUCUAAUGGACCAAAAUUAUUUUGGUCCACUUUGGUCCAUUAGACCAAAAGCAUGCCUCCCAAGGUCUGCUCACCUUGGGAGGAGGGCCACGAGAUUGGACCCAGACCCAAGACAACUUGCCUUGGGCCUGGAGUUCCGGGCCAACGGCCUCUCCUCGGCCCGGGACGGCAUAGGCCCGUUUCGGGCAGUGUCGUGCCGGGCCGUUGGGCCCCAAAAAAGCGACCUAUCAGGCGCCCGGAGAGCCGGGCUGGCCCGGUCCGGCAUGGAUGUUACAGUAGCCUUGUCCGGGCCACGGCUCGGCCUGCAUUGGUGCCAGGCAGGGCGGCCCACGGCCCGUUUUACAGCCUUAUGUUUACGGUUCAACGUUAAGUUACUUUGUAUGUGUUUUGUACCAAUGUUCUACAUUUAGGUUUUCAAAUGUUUAUUUCAAAUCAAUUGAACAUAAUAGUUUUUUACGAAAAUUAUAAUGAUGUAUAAAAUAAAAUAUAAAUUAUAGUAUCAAAACAAAUAAAAAAAAACUAUUAUUGAUACAAAAUAAACUUCCACAAUAUUAUUGAAAAAACUCUCAGCACGCAUCAUAGUAACGUACAUUAUUUUACACACAUUUUUUUUAACAUGAUCAACUGAUCACACCAUUAUUCACCUUGUCUAAUCCUGUAAUUAGGGAAAGAGCUCAAUUAUGGAGUGUGGACCACCCUUCAAAGGAGUAAUUUUGUAGUUUGCAAACCCUGCUUUGCUAAAAAUUUUUCGCCACUCGACUUCGUCGCGCUCCUUUCCGCCGAGGCCAGUCAUCAUAAUAACAUCAGACAAGAGUCCCAUUUCAUUUUUCCGGGGGUCGUCGCCGAGCGUAUUUAUCACUAUAUCCACAAUUAUGACUUUUCCGUGUUCUCCUCCAUUAGCAGAAAUUGCUUUCUUACAUUGCUUUAGAAUCUUCACGCAGUCCUCGUCGCUCCAGUCGUGAAGAACAUUCUGUGUUACACAUUUCAGGAGAUCUUUUGUCAGGAUCAAAUGCAAAUGUAACACCACUAUUUUUUGAUUGCACGUGGUAUUUGUAAUUCAUAAAAAACAAUACACGAUGAUUAAUUGCGAAAAAUAUUUGUUCAUGUAUAUAUAUAUAGAGAGAGAGAGAGAGAGUGUGUGGCUACUAUACUUUUAUGAAUAUGACCACCCUCAAACUUAUAAGUUGUUUUCGAUGAUAGAGUUUCCGAAUCGACGAUCCAUACCGUUAAAUAUUAUUUAGAACAUUUAAAACUUUUAGAAAUCAAAUUUCAUAAUUUUUCGAUAUUAUUUACCUUAUGAUUAAAAUGUCACAAAAUUGACAAAUUUUAAUGAUUGAUAUGGGAUAUGUGUUAGCUUAGCAGUGUGAAGGAAUUGGAAUAUGUUGAAUUUUUAAUAAAAAAUUAUAUUCACUACCUAAAUAAAGAUCAAUAACUCUAAUCUUAAAUUAAAAGAUCCGAUCAUCUAUUUUUCGGACAUCGUUCGAUUUUAAUCGUUGAUUUUAUGCCUGCUUGAUAGACUUUAUUAUGAUUUCGAAAAAUUACAAAAUUUAUUUUUUAGAAGUUUCAAAUACUUUAGAUCAUAUUUAAGAAAGCAGAUUGUCGAUUCGGAAGCUCUAUCAUCGAAAACAACUUAUGAGUACGAAGUGCUCUAUACUCAUAAGAAUAUAAUAGCCCUACUCUCUCUUUUUCUCUUUCUUUCUCUCUCUCUCCAUAUAUAUAUAUAUAUAUAGGCUGGAAUGCUUUUAAUAGCACUAAGUUAUUGGUGUUAUUAGAUUUUUGGUUCUUGAACAAAAGGAUGUGCUAUUAGAAUGAUAGUGAUCCUGUAGGGUUGAGUAGAUGGUUGGUUGAAUAGUAUGAUUUAUCCUAGAGUAGAUUGUUGGUUGAUUAAUAUGAUUUAACGGAUAGAGAUGGUCGAAAGGUAAAUCUAACGAUUGAAAACUUUGUAGCACCAAGUGCUUGGUGCUAUUCGAAGCACCCCAAUCGGAUUCUCUCUCUAUAUAUAUAUAUAUAGCUGAAUUCAAUAAUUAUUUCUAAUUUUGUACUUAUUUAAAAUAAUGAUAAAAUAUAGGAAGGUAAUUGAACUAAUUUUUAAUGCAAGGGUAAGAGGCCUCUGACCAUCCCAAAUUUCAACAACUAGGCAUAUCAGCAGAGUAUUAUAUAUAUCUAUAUAUAUAUAUAUAUAUAUAUAUAUAUAUAUAUAUAUUAUAUAUAUAUAUAUAUUAUAGUUGGCUGUGGUAUGCUUAUGAAAGCACGGAGGCCUCCGUGCUUUCAUGUUGUUUCGAUGUUCGGACUUUCGAAUCGACGAUCGGUUCCGUUAGAGUUGAUCUAGAGUAUUUGAAUACCUAGAAAAUAAAUUUUGCGAUUUUUCGAUAUCAUUUGCCUAGUGAUCGAAGGGGCUCAAAAUCAAUAAUUUUAAUGACCAUGGUGAGCCGGUUGCAAGUUUAACGGUAUAGAAAUAUUCAAAUCACGUGAAAUUCUGAUAGAAAUUUUUUAUACUAUAUAAAAUAAGAUCAAUAUCUUUGAUCUAAAUUUUAAUGUCAUAUCAUCAUAUUUUGUGAGAUUUUUUUUUCAGCCGUUGAUUUGAGCCCCUACGCACCUAGGCAAAUGAUAUCGAAAAAUCGCAAAAAUUAUUUUCUAGAUCUUCAAAUACUCUUAGAUCAAAUCUAACGAGACGAUGUCGAUUCGAAAAUCCACACAUCGAAAACAACUUGAAAGCAUGGAGGCCUCGUGCUUCCAUAAGCAUACCGCGCAAACAUAUAUAUAUAUAUACAUAUAUAAUAUAUAUAAUAUAAAUAUACUAUAUAUAUAUAUAUAUAUAUAGUACGGCUGGGACACUAUUAAUAGCACCAUGCACCAUGCAUUUGGUGCUAUCAAGUUUUCCGCCGUUAGAUUUAACCCUUUGACUAUUUUCACCCAUUAAAUUAUAUUAUUAAACAAACAACUCACUCAACCCUUGGGGUCCCACAUCAUAUUAACCGUACAUUUUUUAAUCCAAUGACCGAAAACCUAAUAGCAUAAAAUGCUUGGUGCUAUUGAUAGUAUUACAGCCUAUAUAUAUAUAUAGGCUGGGGCUACUAUACUCUUAUGAGUAUAGACCCUCUUAUACUCAUAAAUUUCUAACAGUUAAUUGAUGGGAUGUAUGGUUAGGAUGAUAGUAGUCCCCACUUAGAAUGAGAGUGGUCGCCUACGGUUGAGUGGGUAGUUGGUUGAAUAGUAAAAUCUCACGGAUAAAAAUGAUCAAUAAAAUAAAUCUAUGAGCCAAAAAUUUAUGAGUAUAAGAAAAUCAAUAUUCAUAAAAAUAUAGUAGCCGGACUCUCUCUCUCUCUCUCUAUAUAUAUGUAUAUAUAUAAUUUUGUGUAAUACUAAAUACAAAGGACAAUACUAGUUCUAUAGCUUACUUUGGAUUAUAAUCAUACAAUUUCCGUAGUUCACAAAGUCCUUUCUUCUUUACUUAUCUUACCAUUUUCUUCCUCUACGACUAAAAAAAAUUAAUAAAUCCUACAACGCUUAGGGGGGGAUUGGGAUCUUUUUAAUAUUAAAGAAAAAAUUGCCUAUAUCAAUUUAUCCCACUCUACUUAAAAGUAAGGGGGUUGUUACCCGAGUUUUAAGUUUAAAUUUUAGUUGAUUUAUAUUUUUAUUUAAUUUUAUUUUUAAAUUAAAUAAAUGAAGUUACUAACAUGCUACUGAUCUCUAAAAAAAAAAAAUCCAAAAGGAAUUGGCUCAUCGUAGGAAGUAGAGUUGUGGGAUUCUAACUUUUUUGGGUGUUAAUUAGACUUAGUAUUCCUCUUUUGAAAGAAGAAAGCUCUGAAAAUUAAUCUUACCUUGAGGAGCACCGCACCGGCCGGUGGAAUGUACUCAAACAUGUCGCCGGCGACCGCGUCGAUGAGCUCGCUUUUGGGUGCGGCGGCCACGACGUGCGGGAGCUCGAGGACGGUGCACUUCACCUCCGGAAACGCCUCGGCGAUCAUCUUGGCGGUCAUGCCGGUGCCGCCGCCGACGUCAACCAGCGACCCGAUCCCGCGGAAGACCUGCGGGCAGCACGCCACCGCCGCCGCCGUCGUCUGCCUGGUCUUGCACGCCAUCGCCUCGUUGAACAGCCUGCCCAUGUGCGGGCGCUCCUGGGCCACCUUCCACAAGUUCCUCCCGCCGUGCGCCAUCUCAAAUGCAUUCAUAUUCGCACCUUCCUGCGUCAGCCACUCGCUCAUGCGGUACAUCGGCUUCACCAUGUCGGGCUCCAAGAAGGCCCGCACGUACGAGCUCAUGUUCGGGCUGCCGUCAUCGGCGGUGACGAGGAGCCGCGAGAAGGGCGUGAGGAGGUAGCCAAUGCUGCCGUCGCCGUCGUCGUUGACGCCGCUGUCGCCGAGAGCCUGCACGGCGAAGACGCCCUGCGCGGAGAGAAGGCGCAUGAGGCGGCGGAGCAUCGGCUGCUUCUCGAGGGGCACGGGAAUGGAGAGCGCGAGGGCCGGGAGAGGCAUGGGCUCGCCCCCGUAGGCGUGGAUGUGGUCCGGGAUGCGGAGGUCGACAGCGCACUUGAGGGCGAAAGGGCCAAUGAUGCUGAUGAUUCGGUGUAUGAUCGUCGACUGGGCGACCAGCAGCUGGUCGUCGGUGAUCUUCGUCUCGCCUUUGCCGGGCUCCAUUUCUAAUCUCUGGAUUGUUUGGAUUCUUAAUUACUUGGGAAGUGGUGGAGGAUAUAUGGAGGCUUAGGCUUGCGGGUAAAUAUAUAGUGCUUAAUUUGGGGCGGGAAUAGAACCGGGCAUGUCAAACCGAAUUACCAGUCAACAAUUCUAAAUAAUAUAGGGAGAAUGGCUUAUAUACGGCUGCUAGGUUUUCGACUUUUUUAUUUAUAUUUUUUAAAAAAUUAAUAUUAAAAAUAUUAUUUUAAUAUUUUAAUUUUUUUUAAAUAUAUUUUUUGAUUAGAUUUUAUUAUUGAAUUGUUAUGAACCAAUGUUAUUUUUAUAAAAUUACUAUUUUGCUCAUUCAAAUAUACCUUUCUACUUCCGAAUAUAACCUCCUAUAUAACGUCACCAACAUUUUUUUUUAUUUGCCCUUAAUUUAAGGGCAAAAGAUAUUUUGACUUCUUUCCUUUCAAAUAUAGGCGACAUAAAUCGAAUCAAAGUGUUGACCAGAUCAGACACUUCCUCAGAAUGCGAAUCAGCUCUUGAGAUGACUCUGGAAUGCGGUACAAUUCAAGCGACUCGGUUGAGGAGGAACCAGCUCAAUUAGACUCUCUAGCAAACUAUUUACAAAUAAACGAAAAAAGCAAGCUCGACUGUAAGAGCCGAACUAUUUAUACUGAUUGGAAACGAGAGAUUACAAAUGUUGUCAUAGGCUCUGGUAUUUAAUUCACGAAUUAUUGAAAAUCCGAACAAAAUAGUCCGUAUGCGAUUUUUUAUUUCAAAACUAUGGAAUAAAACGCGAAUUUUUUGGGCUAGCCGAAUAAAACGCGAAUUAUUAAAAAUUUGAAUAAAAAUCUUAUAUUUUUUUAAAUUUUAAGUAUGGACUAUAUUAUAUUUUAUAUUUAAGUAUGGCUUUUCUAUUUGCUCGCCCUAAAAAAAAAAUUAUAUAUUUUAUAAUUAAUAAUGNGCGAAUUAUUAAAAAUUUGAAUAAAAAUCUUAUAUUUUUUUAAAUUUUAAGUAUGGACUAUAUUAUAUUUUAUAUUUAAGUAUGGCUUUUCUAUUUGCUCGCCCUAAAAAAAAAAUUAUAUAUUUUAUGUUUAAUUAUGAAUUAUCUUAAUUUUUUUCUUGCUUGAUUGUUUAUAUAUUGUGUUGUAUAAUAUAGUUUAAUUGCUAUUGCUUUUUUUUUUUUUACUUAAUCUAUUUUAUUUUGUAGCUCUUUAGUUUUAUAUUCUUAAAAAUUAUAACUAUUUAUGCUUGUAGCAUAAAUCUAGAAAAAAAAAUAAUUUUAAUAACUGAAUUUUUUAUCCCGAAUUUUUAAUUGAUGAAUAUAUAAUUUUCGUGUAAAUUGCGUAUCAAAUAAUUGGCGAACUAGAUUUUUAAGCCGUAUUUUUAAACAAAUUUAAAAAUUAGAAUAUGAAUUUUAUUCGUAUUAUAUCCGUACCGAAUUUUUGUCGAAUUCAAAUUAACUAACUAUGAUCACACGGACUAAAUAUACUUCUAGAGGAACUCUUAGCCCUUGUUUGGUUGGGGGUUAAGAGGUUGAAUAAUCCCUUAACCCCCAUAUUAUCUCCAAACACUCCUAAAAAUAGAUGGGAUUAGGUAACCCCCACCUAAUCCCACCAAACUUCAACCAAACAUUAUUUUCUAUUCAUAAUAACCCAUUAUCUUUCUUAUCCCACCUACUCUAACAAAACACUAUUUUUCACUAUCCUGGACUAACUCCAACCUUCAACCAAAUACAAAAAUACUCUAACCCAACCUUAGCCCUGAACUUAACCCUAUCCCUGAAAUAACUAGUUUUUCCUUAACCCCAAAUCAAACGGUAGCUUAACAAACAUUUAAUUAAAUCCUUAACUAAGCUCUUAAAAAUAGGAAAAGAAAAGAAAAGAAAAAUCUGUGAACUACUCCUUGUAAAGCCGUAAAUACUGGAAAUUGAAAAGAAAUUAAAAUUUGUUGUGGUCGCUUGCUUGUGUGAGGGACUCCUAUCACAGGCUCACUUUUUCCUAUUUAUAGUAAUAUAUUCUUCCGCUUGGAGUUAUUGGAUGAUUCUUACCGUGAAGGUUUUUUUGGCCAUAUCCCUAUUUCUUCGAAUUGUGCUUCGGCUAAUAUCUUGAUGGCCACGGAGCUCUCUCUUCACGUCUCUAAAUGCUUCCGCCUAAAAUGCUCUUCAGUUUAGGCGUUAUUAUCCUUGGUUCCCAGUGUACCCCGUGUCACCUUUUGUUUUGUUCCUGCUAUUUUAUCAUGUGGUCUGAAUCGCUUAGCAUGUGGCAUUACUCUUCCUGCAUCAAUAAUGCCUUCUGAUAGUCUUCUAAAAUGCUCUUCCAUUUAGGGCAUGUUUGUUUCACCGAAAUUGAACUUUCGUUAAAGUGGACUUUGGAUUGAAGUGAAGUUCGGGAAAACUACUUUUUUUUAUUGCUUUUGUUUCGUAGUAUGAAAGUAAAGAUUUAUUAGUUUUGCUGUUUGUUUAGCAGAAAAUAUAUGAUAUAUGAUUUAUAUUAUAUUAUAUAUAUAUAUAAUAAUAUAUAUAUAUUAUAUAUAUAUAUAUAUAUAUAAUAUAUAAUAAUAAAAUAAUAUAAUUAUAUUUUAUAUAAUUAAAAUUUAAUUUAAAAUAAGUAAAUUAUUUUUUUAUACAUAAUUAUAGUAAUACAAGAAUAAAUUAUAAAGUAAAAAAUAUUAAUACUUAAUUAAUAAUUUUUAUCAUAUUUAAUUGUAUAAAAAAAUAAAAGUUUAUCAAAUUUUUUAAAAUUUGAGAGGCAUGUAAGUAAUUAUCCCAAUAAAAUAAUAAUGAGAGAGAGAAAUGUGAGGUCAAAGUCGUUGCAAUCUCUAUCAUAGAUGUCUUCUCAUUAUCACGAUGCCUGGAAAUUUAGUUGGUAGUCGUUCAUUACAUGACCCUUCUUUUGUCAUGUUUGCAUUUGUAGAUAGCAUUUUUCCAUUUAAUUAACCUCUCGUCCCUAGCCAAUGGUAAGGCUUAGUGAUUGAUAUCCGAAAUUUCAAUUUCAAAUUCGAAUUCUAGUUGAUUCAUCAUUUCUAGCGAAAUUUAUUUUUAAAUGAAAUAAAUAAAGCAGAUAACAUAUUACCUAUCUCUCUCUCAAAAAAAAAAAAAAAAAAAAAAAAAAAACUCUCGUCACUAUCUCAUUAGAAAGGUCGGAUUCAAGUUAUUACUAUUCUCAACCAAAUCAACUUCUCCUGCAUUAAACUCUUGAAAACUAGUCCCUGAAAGAAGAGAACUUAAUUUUAAAUCUCCUAAAAAAUUUAGCUACAACUACUACUGACUAAAUAAUAUCAGGCAUUUAAGGGGCUAGGGAAGUUAUAAUAAUAUUCUUUCUCUACCGUGUCGCAGAAUGUAAGUAAUGAAACUGUUUGCCGAAAAGAAGCAAAAGUAAAAAUAAUUUUAUCAAUUAGAAAGAGAGUUAUAUUGGAAUGAGCUCCAAACCUUUGGCAUGGAUUCUCCGCUAUGACUUGACCUCUUUAAAGCAUAUUACGUUCGGCUGCUUAGUUCGGACUAAACUUGUUAUACUUUAGGUAGAAACUGAAACUCUAAGAAUCUAAAAUUUCAGCCUAUAAUUUCUGGAUGGUUGAAACGUCAGGAAAGUACGUAAGCUACUGAAACUACUAAAACUACUACGGCUGUUUUUGGCUGGAAUUAGAAAAAUUUAACAACUUUACUUUCAGUAUGAACAAUAAAAUUACUAUUUCUUAAGAAUCGUCUUAGACGUUGGAUGUUGUGGAAGAUAAAGUCUCUCUCUUCAUCGUUUGUGUAGUAGCUAUAAUACCGUGGCCUGACUUCGAUUCUGAUAAUCUAAUAAGAUAUAAUUUAAUUUUUGAUUUUUUUUUGUCAUUGAAUAAUUCAUACUAAACUACAAUAAAAAUUCUGCCAAAUUAUUGAGUUAUUUUCUAAAAUUAAUAGUUUUGAUCACUUUUUAGCAACUAAAAACUAGAAUAGUUAAUACCUAAUUACUAACUGAACGUGUAAUAGGAAAACCGAAAUAAAAAAGAAAAUAAAAGUUUAGGGAGUGUUGGCAAAGUAGAAUACGAAGAGGGCCUUGUCGGAAUGUCCUACUCCUCUACAAUAGGAGUUCUACGUACAUUUUUACCCAACAUCUCCUUGUUAAAACGUUUGGAGCAGUUUUUGUUGGUUAUUUCAAUGAUUCAAAAAUCGAAUUGAAUCGGCUGGUUCAACCGAUCCGACCGUAACCCAGUCUAUAAAGUAGUUUAGUUUAGUUAUUUGAAUCAAAUAAUUCAAGAAAAUCACUUUGAACAGUUUGAACAGACGGUUCAACCAUCGGACCGGUAAAUCGGCCCGGUUGGAUUUUUUUUGAUGAAGUUAUACUAAAAUUCAAUGGCUUAAAAUUCACUUAGCUUUUUUAUUAGCACAAAUUAGUCUUAUAAAAAACAGAAUUCGAAAAAUUAUAUUUACUUAAUUUGGUAUAGAAAUUAAUAUUUUAUAAAUAAGUAUACUACUAGAAAUAAUAAUAAUACAUGAUAUUAUUAAAAUAUUAAUUAUUUUAUAUGAUAUUUAAUGAUUAAAAUUUUCAAAGAUGACUGCGGCGGAAGAAUGUGAGGUGCCGGGUCAUGUGGGCAGCCCGAGUUACACGACUUGAAAAGUCUAGUCUUGGCAACAAAAACAUCAUCCUAUGUAAUUUUUAACUAACAAUAUUUUGACAAAUAAAAAUGAAACAAUACUUUCUGGAUCUUUUCAUAACUUUUUUAAGCAUUUCCUAAAUAUAUAUCGUGUGAAACCUUUUCUUGUUUCUUGCACACUCUUUUUCCAUCCUCUUUGACUUUUAGUGAUAGUAAAAGGUUCCUGAUGCUUGAAGUUACACCGAAUUUCAAUAGUGCACGUCACUUUCGAGUUUGGUAGCCCGUUGGAAUAAUGUUGAUAGAGAGAGAUAGGAUUGGAAUACUAUUGAUAGUAUUUGGCCUUUUUUGCUAUUAAAUUUUUAAUUUUUGGAUAAGAAAUUAUAGAGUUAUAAUGAUAUUAGUCUCUGAGGGUUGAGUAGUUCUCUGAUUAGGAUUGUGUGGUCUCUACUAGAUUAUAAUAUUUAAUCUCAUAGUUAGAAAUGAUCAAAAAAAAUUGAUCUAAAGACUAAAAAUUUAAUAGCAAAAAAGGACAAAUAUUAUUAAUAGGAUUCUAGCCGAAUUCUCUCUCUCUCUCUCUCUCUCUCUCUCUCUCUAUAUAAAGAGAGAGAGAGUAGGGCUACUAUACUCUUAUGAGAAGAGCGCCCUUCGUACUCAUAAGUCUCUCUCUAUAUAUAUAGAGAGAGAGUAGUGAUAGAUUUUAUAGGUAUGUAAAACAAAACCGAAAAUAAAUACAUACCAAAAUGCAGGAUCAAAAUUAAUAAUAAGAUAACUCACAGAGCGCCAUGGAGAAGAAAUUCUUGAUCAAUCUUGCGGAAGCGUGAAGUCCGGCUAUGGUCUGAAAGUCACGAACCGAACUUGGGUGAUUUGGUUUCUCCCCCUAUCUCAUGCACUCUGCCGUAUGGUGUGAAACCGAUAGUAAUUCUUCACCAGAAUGCGUAUGAGAAGGUGGCAGGACCAAUACCCCUUUAUAUAGAGUCCAAAUCGACUUCUCAUCAAAGUCUGAUUAGGAUUCUAUUUAAAUUUAAAAUAGAUGGGAUAGGGAUAAAAUAUACCAUAUCAAGUAGUUCUAUAUCUAUUAGGAUUGACCUUUAUCUAUAGUAAAUCCUAAUUUAAAUAUGAUUAAUUGGGCCACAAUAUAUGGAAAUCCUAACAAUCUCCCACUUGGCUCAUAUUAAUCAUAUUUCAUUAAUGGAUUUUCUAUCUUCCAAACUUUAUUGCGCAUUGUAGGAAACUUUAUGGUCAAAUACCUUAGAACUCACUUGAUCUUUAGCUCAAACUAAAAGACUACAAUGAUAGGAACUAUGGCGGUCCACCUCUUCAUAACGAAAUUUUCCUUCCAUAAUUACCGUAUCAUCUUCACCUCUUAGCCGAGUACUUUAUAUGACACAACUUUAUGAAUGAACUUAAACUGUAUAUUCAUCCAUUAAUAAGCGAAGCUUUAUGCCUAUUAAAAGGUCCAACACAGCUGCAUUAAACUUUAACUUUAUUGAAAGAAAAUAAGUAUUAAAAUUUUAUACAUCGAAAGAACUAAUCAAACCCAUAUUUCUAACAUGAUCCGUAUAUGACCCAGGUGCCAGCCCCUUGGUCAUUGGGUCUGCAAUCAUACACUUGGUACUGAUGUAUUCAAUUGUAAUAUAACCUUCAUCUAUCUUCUCUCUCACAACAAGAAAUUUAGUGUCCAAGUGUUUACACCCCGCUGUAAUCUUGUUGUUAUUGGCAAAGGAAACCGCAGCUGAACUAUCACAGAAAAUCUUUAUUGGACGAGCAAUGGAGUCCACAAUUCUUAAGUCUGUGAUAAAAUUCCUAAGCCAAAUAGCCUGUGAUGUGGUCUCGUAACAUGCAAUGUACUCUGCAGCCAUGGUCGAAGGAGCAGUAACACUUUGUUUGCUACUCUUCCAUGAUAUCGCUCCACCAGCAAGCAGAAAAAUAUAUCCAGUCGUAGACUUUCUGGUAUCUGGGCAUCCAGCAAAAUCAGAGUCCGAGUACCCGAUCAGCUCCAAGUGAUCCGAUCUCCUGUAAAUCAGCAUAUGAUCCAAAGUUCCUUUCAAAUACCUCAUAACCUUCUUAGCAGCCUUCCAAUGCUCCAUACCUGGAUUAUUUUGAUACCUGCCAAGUAAUCCAACGGCAAAAGCAAUAUCCGGACGUGUGCACGUCUGUGCAUACAUAAGACUACCAACUGCAGAGGCAUAAGGUAUACUUUUCAUCUGUUCAAUUUCUAAUUGGUUCUUGGGACACUGAAAAGCAUUAAGCUUAUCCCCUUUCUGGACAGGAGCAACACUGGGCUUACAAUUAUGCAUUUCAAAAUUUUCCAAAACUUUCUUUAUGUCGGCCUUUUGAGACAGACCGAGUAAACCUUUAUGUCUAUCUCUUUUGAUUUCAAUACCAAGAACAUAUGAGGCCUCACCUAAAUCUUUCAUUUCAAAAUUUUGGAAAAGAAAUUCUUUAGUGUUAUGCAAUAGCCCAAGAUCAUUACUGGCAAGCAAAAUAUCAUCAACAUAAAGGACUAAGAAAAUUACUUUACUCCCACUAACCUUUAAAUAAAUACAUUGAUCAACAAUAUUUUCCUUAAAACCAAAGGUUAAAAUAGUUUGUUUAAAUUUUAAAUACCAUUGUCGGGAGGCCUGCUUUAGUCCAUAUAUUGAUUUCUUUAAUUUGCAUACCAAAUGCUCCUUUCCCUUUUGCGAGAAUCCUUCAGGUUGAUUCAUAUACACCUCUUCAUAGAGAUCCCCAUUUAAAAAGGCAGUUUUGACAUCCAUCUGGUGUAGCUCGAGAUCAAAAUGAGCAACCAGAGCCAUAAUAAUACGAAAAGAUUCCUUUCUAGAUACUGGAGAAAAAGUCUCUUUAUAGUCAAUGCCUUCUUUCUGAGUAAACCCUUUUGCCACAAGACGGGCCUUGUAUCUUUCUAUGUUACCUUUGGAGUCCCAUUUAAUUUUAUAAACCCAUUUGCAUCCUACGGGUUUCACUCCAAUAUGUAACUCAACAAGAUCCCAUACCUUAUUGUGGUUCAUGGAUUCAAUCUCAUCAUUCAUGGCAUUGUACCAUUCCGUAGAAUUACUGCUAUUUAUGGCUUCGGAAAAACUAAGAGGAUCAUCCAAACUCUGACCAUUCUCAUAAAGAUAGAUAAUAUAAUCACUGGAUAUAGCCGGUCUUCUCUGUCUUGAGGAUCUUCUUAAAUCUAUCUGAUUAUCCACACGUAUAUCUUGAUGUGGAUUAUUCACUUGUACAUCUUGAUGUAAAUUAUCCACUUGUACAUCUUGAUGUGAAUUAUCAAUGAUAGGUUCACAAUCAUUUUGUGGUUCCAAAACAACUUGUUGUUCUACUGAAAUAGGAACCAACAAAUCGUGAGGGACAACAGUGGGUCUAUCAUGUACAGAAUCCGAAUGCUCCUGAAUUUCCUCAAAUUCAAUGAAUCGAGGUUCAGAGCUCCCACUAAUUGUACCAUCCUCAAUAAACCGUGCUGUUUUAGUUUCUGCAAUCUUUAUAGGAAGUGAUGGACAGUAAAAUUUAUACCCUUUGGACCUUUCUGAAUAACCAAUAAAAUAUCCUGAUAUGGUUCGAGGAUCCAGUUUCUUUAUUUGUGGAUCAUACAAUUUGGCCUCAGCUUGACAACCCCAUGUAUGAAAAUGUCUUAAACUGGGUUUCCUACCUGUCCAAAGCUCAAAAGGAGUCUUAGUGACAGCCUUAGUAGGAACCCGAUUAAGAAUAUAUAGGGCAGUUUUGAGUGCCUCACUCCACAAUGAUAUUGGAAGGGUAGAAUUACUGAUCAUACUCCUGAGCAUAUCAAUUAAUGUGCGGUUUCUUCUUUCAGCAACACCAUUCUGAUCAGGUGUCCCUGGCAUGGUGUACUGUGGAACAAUUCCGCACUGCUCCAGAAACUUAGCAAAAGGCCCAGGGAUUUGGCCUUUAUCUGUUUGUCUACCAAAAUAUUCACCACCCCUAUCUGAUCUGACUACUUUUAUCCUUUUCUCGAGUUGAUUCUCUACUUCAGCCUUAUAUGCCUUAAAGGCAUCUAAUGCUUCAGAUUUUUCUUUAAGUAAGUAGAGAUAGCCAUAUCGAGAGUAGUCAUCAGUAAAUGUGAUAAAAUAUUUAUGGCCAGUAAUUGAAAUAGGAAGAGGUCCGCAUAUAUCGGUAUGAAUCAACUCUAAUGUUCCAUCACAUCUUUUAGCACCUUUAGAGGAAGUUUUGGUCUGCUUUCCCUUUAUGCAGUCCACACAUAUUCCAAAGUCAGAGAAGUCCAAAUCAUCUAAAAUGCCUUCUCUAAUUAACCUUUGGAUUCUCUGUUUCGAGAUGUGUCCUAACCUCUUAUGCCAUAACAUGGAUGACCUUUCAUUAUUAAUGCCACGUUUUGAUCCAACAUUUCCGUGCAUGGUAAGAAGGAUUUCACUAAAUGAAUCAUCUAAAAAUACUUUAUAUAGAUUAUUUUCCAAAACACCAGAGCCAACUAUCUGAGAUUUAUAAGAUAAAGAAAAAACUUUAUUAUUAAAACUGAAACUAUAUCCCAAUCCAACAAGUUUCGAAAUAGAAAUUAAAUUCUUAGAAAAAUUUGGAACAUAAAAUGUAUCAACUAAAUCCAAAAUGUGACCAGUAGAAAGAACUAAUCUAAAUGUUCCUACAAAUUCUACUUUAGUUGGAUUUCCUUCAGCUGUAUAGAUAGUCGCUUCAUCUUUACUGGGUUUUCUCCGAUUCUGAAAUCCCUGCACGGAAUUCGCCACGUGACAUGUGGCACCAGAGUCAAUCCACCAAGUAUUAGACGGAACUGAAACUAAAUGCAACUCAUGCAUCAAAACCAGAAAUUUACCUUUCUUCUGGAGCCAUUUCUGAUAUUUUUGGCAGUCCUUCUUUAUAUGACCCUUUUUCUUACAAAAGAAGCACUUGGGAGUCCAAUUACUUGAUUGGCCUUGUGAACCAGAUGGAACUUCCUUAUUCUUUCUUUUUGAGUCAUUCUUGCCCUUGCCAUUCUUUGCACGCUUUAUUUGUCUCUUUUGAGAAACAAAGUUGACUGCAUUUUGUUUCUCUUGUAUUAAUCUGCCUUCCUCUUGCACACACAUGGUCAGCAGUUCAUUAAUUGACCAUUUAUCUUUAUGUGUAUUAUAAGAGAUCUGAAAUGGUCCGUAUUCAGAUGGCAAAGAAUUCAAAAUAAAGUGCACUAAGAAUGAAUCAGAGAUGGUUACUUCAAGUGCGGUGAGUUGCGCUGCAAUAUCUCGCAUUUCCAUAAUAUGCUCGCGAAUCGAGCCAUUUCCGGAGUACUUCAUGGAAGACAGUUUAUUCAUUAAGGUGCUCGCCAAGGCUUUAUCGGAGCUGACAAACUGCUCCUCAAUAGCCUUUAGAUAAUCCUUGGCUUUAUUACAUUCUGGGAUUGAUCCCCUUAUGCUUUUUGAUACCCUUGACUUUAUGAGCAUCAAACUUAAGCGGUUGGAUCGCUCCCACUUUUCCUGCGCGGAUUCCUGCUGUGGAGUCAUUGGCCCCACUACCUUAGGCGGUUGUUCAGCGCGCAGAGCCAAAUCUAAAUCCAUAUAACCCAAAAUGAACAUGAUCUGUUCUUUCCACUCCGAAUAAUUAGAACCAUUAAGUAUAGGAACAGAUUCACCAAUAGGAACAGAAAAUGGAGUCAUAGCUGAAAAAUAAAAUGCAUGUUUUAUCAAUAAAAUACCACAUCAAAAUUACCACACCAAAAUUAGAGAAAUACACUUUAUAUGAUAUCACAACCCCUCCUUUGGGAGCAGAGUUAUGAGCAUAAGUAUUUUUCGUUCUUUAUGCAUAUACUUUAUAUGACAUCACAACCCCUCCUUUGGGAGCAGAGUUAUGAGCAUAAAUAUGCAAUCUCUUUGUUAGAGAUUAAUUUAAACUUUCUGUAGGUCGUGAUAAUCUCAAAUUUCUCAUAUGAAGAAAUUGUCAGCUUUGGCCAGGUAAAUUUCUCCAAACGAGUUAUAAGAAAAUUACCAUCCUACACCACCCAUUUACCUUCAUGUCUAGACCUCCUUUGGGAGCAGACUAAACAUAAUAUUAGGGUGCAAUUUCUCAAUGCACAUCUUUAAAGCAAUUAAUUUAUCUUUUCUUCCGGUCGGGGCCGCUUUGGCUUGCACCCGAACAGUUGAAACAAUAAAUUAAUCUGACUUAGUGCUGCAUGAUUGACAUGAAAAUUAUCCGAAAGCGCUACUUUAAAGUAAAUUAAAUUAUUAUUUCUUUUAAUUAGGGCCGCUUUGGCUUGCACCUAACCUAUCGAAAUAAUAAAUUAAUUUAACUUAGCGCCAAAUAUUAAAUAAUCGAAAACAAUUAUGAUUAUUUAAUUUUCAUGUUUAUCCGGUCAAAACAAGAAUAUAGUUGCGAUAAUUUAAAACAUGAUAUCGCAAUCAAAUUUAAACUUUAUAUAUUCUAAUUCGACCACAAAAAAAAAGAUAAAUGACGUUAUGAUAAAUUAAAUAUUGUAUGCAAAAUAUAAUCCUUAUGUGAACGGAUUCUAUAUGUCCACAAUAAUUCCGUAUGCAUAAUGAUUUUGACGGGUCAAAAUCAGACGAAUUAAUAAACAGAUUAAGUAGAAAAAUCUUUACGGAUUCAGAACAAUUAAAGAUAAGAUCAUGCAAUUCCAGGCGUAACCUGUCGGAAUAAACCAGACUAACUGGUUUGAAAAGCAACGAUCAUUAAAAGAAAUAUAGCCACAAUCGCACAAUUACAUUGCCUCGGAUCCAGAAAGGCAUAAUCCAAAACCAUAAUCAUCAUUUUUUUAUUUUUUUUUUAUUUUUUAUUUUAAUUAACUCAGUUUCAACCAAACAAGACGUAGAAUCCAAAACAAUGAUUAGCCAUGCUGCUGCUGUGUCAUCGUUUUGCAAGGCCAUAACUAAACAAAAACAAGUGACCAAAAACGACUUCUUUAUUAUAUAGCUUCCCAAUUUUGAGAAGGAAGACGAUUGAUGGUUUGAAUAUGUAAACCAUGCGGUCCAGCAAGAUUGCCAGAACAAAAACGUACGACGUGGCAAUAUCCUAACAUAUAAGUUGAUCCCGAAAUCCAAGUCAAAAUUCAUCGUAACUUGAUGCAAUUACAUAAUGCAUACAAUAUUAAUAUUAUCGAACCAAUUGGCUCUGAUACCAAUUGAUAGAUUUUAUAGGUAUGUAAAACAAAACCGAAAAUAAAUACAUACCAAAAUGCAGGAUCAAAAUUAAUAAUAAGAUAACUCACAGAGCGCCAUGGAGAAGAAAUUCUUGAUCAAUCUUGCGGAAGCGUGAAGUCCGGCUAUGGUCUGAAAGUCACGAACCGAACUUGGGUGAUUUGGUUUCUCCCCCUAUCUCAUGCACUCUGCCGUAUGGUGUGAAACCGAUAGUAAUUCUUCACCAGAAUGCGUAUGAGAAGGUGGCAGGACCAAUACCCCUUUAUAUAGAGUCCAAAUCGACUUCUCAUCAAAGUCUGAUUAGGAUUCUAUUUAAAUUUAAAAUAGAUGGGAUAGGGAUAAAAUAUACCAUAUCAAGUAGUUCUAUAUCUAUUAGGAUUGACCUUUAUCUAUAGUAAUCUAUCCUUACCCCCUUAAUUUAAUAUUUAUUGGCCAAAUAUAUGGAAAUCCUAACAAGGUUGGGUACUAUUACUUUAUUGAGAAGAGCGCCCUUGUACUAUAAGUUGUUUUCGAUGAUGGAUUCCAUACGCAACGAUCCACCCGUUAAUAUGUUGUAUUUGAUUAUAAAAAAUAAAUUUCGUUUUUUAAAUAUAAUAAGUCAUCAGCGGGCAUAAUGAAUGGUCAAUCAAGACGCUUAAAAAAGGGAUUCGAUCUUCAAUUUAAUCGGGUUAUUAUUUAUAUGGUUGUGAGGGAUUUUAUAAAAAUUAAGUUCAUACUUUUACACUGUUUAAACUGCAAAUAUCGAAUUUUGGUCAGUUAAAAAGUAUCAUUUGUGAUUUUAUCGUAAGGUAAUUUAUGUAAAUUAUAAAAUUUAAUGUCUAGAAAUUUAAAUACUUUACAAUAGUUUGAUGUUUAGAGAUCCGAUUCGAAAGCUUUAUCCAUUAAAAAUUGUAUGGUAGAAGAUAAUCGUUACUCAUUAUAAGAGUUAUAGUAGCGGACAUUAUAUAUAUAUAUAUAUGGUCGGCUACUAUACUAUUUAUAGUACGGGAGCUGUACAUUAGUGUUUGUUUCUCGAUCUUCGGGCAUUAAAUCGCGAUACGUUAAAAUUGAUCUAGUGUUUUAAAGUUUUUAUGAAAAAUUUUAUAUUUUUUCGACUAUAGUUUUAUGAUCAAAAUUUAAUUGUUCAAUUUCAUGCUUAUGUGCGAGUUUGGAGUUACGGUGUAGAAGAUCUUAAAUUUCUUCAUUUGAUAGAAAUUCUUUAAAUUACUAGAUUAAGGUUAAAUUUUGUAUUGAUUUAAAAGUCUAUGCCAAUUUUAAAGGUUUCAGGUCACAGUCCAUUUGACAUAUUAUUUACUAGUACCGAUAUCGAAAAAACUAAUGUUAUUUCUAAACUUAUUAUACCUAUUUAUAUUUAACGUGUGGAUCGCUUGAUUAACGCACGAAUGAUCGAAACAACAUUAGUAGGGUCUAUAUAUAAUUGUAUGUAGCAAUUUUAUUAUAUAUAUAUUAUGAGAGAGAGAGAGAGAGAGAGAGAGAGAGAGAGAGAGAGUUGAGCUAGAAUACUAUCGAUAGCAAACGGGCUUCAUUGUCACCCAUUUGUUUUCGAUGAUAGAGCCUUCAAAUCGACGAUCGACACCGUUGAAUAUGAUCUAUACCACUUGAAGUAUUUAGAAAUCAAAUUUCAAAUCUUUUCGAUAUUAUUUGCCUAAUAAUCAAAGGGUUUGAAAAUUUGUAAUUUUAAUGGUCGAUAUGAAAUGUUUUCUCGUUUAACGGCAUAAAGAUAUUUAAAUCAAUUGAAUUUUUGUUAGAAAAUUCUUUAAACUAUUUAAAGCAAGAUCUAUACUCUUGAUCUUGAUUACAAUGCUCCGAUCAUUAUUUUUUAAAGAAUAUUCAUUUUCAGCCGUUCAUUUUUGUGUCCACUCGAUGAAUAAGAGAACAAUAUCGAAAAUGUAUGAAAUUUGAUUUCUAAACACUUCAAGUAGUAUAGAUCACGUUCAACGGUGCCGAUCGUCGAUUUGGAAGCUCCGUCAUCGAAAACAAAUGGGUGGAAUUGGAGUCCGUUUGCUAUCGAUAGUAUUCUAGCUCAACUAUAUAUAUAUAUAUAUAUACAUAUAUAUAUAUAGGUUGGGGCUACUAUACUCUUAUGAGUAUAAAAUAUCCUUUUGUAUUAUAAAUUUAUUACGUUGUGAGAGAUAUGUGGUUAGGAUGAUGUUGUCCACUUGUAUGAAUAGUGGUUCCCUGGCGUUUGAGUGGUGGUUAGUUGUUGAAUAAGUAUGAUUUAACGGGUAGAAAUUCUAUCAAUGAAAUAAAAUCGUAAAGCAAAAAAUUAUGGAUAAUUUAGAGAGCAAUUAUAUAAAAGUAUGUAGCCGGACUCUAUAUAUAUUAGUUAUUUAUCUAUAUAUAUAUAUAUAUAUAGAGUGGAGUCAUCUUACUUUUAUGAGUAUAGACCGCUUUCUUGUACCAUAAAUUUUUAACCGUUGAUUGAUGGAAUUGUGCGCGUUUGGACUGGAUGAUGGUCCUAUUAGAUGAUGUGGUCCUCAGUUUGAGUGGCGUAAUUAGUUGAAUAGUAUGAUAUAACGAGUGAAUAGAUCAAUGAAUAAUUUAAUGGCCGAAACUUUAUGAGUGUAACGGGCGAGGCCAUAUUCAUAAAAGUAUAGUAGCCGGACUAUAUAUUAUAUAUAUUUAUAUAUAUAUAUAUAUAUAUAUAUAUAUAUUAUAUAUUAUAUAGAGCGGGAGAGAGAGAGCUAGUCUCUAUACUAUUUAUGUACGGGCUCGGUACUAUUAGUUUUUUUUCGAUUUUAAGGGUGUUAAAUCAACGAUCCACACUGUUAAAACUGAUAUAGGGUAUUUAAGUUUUUUAGAAAUAAAAUUUUAUAUUUUUUCGACAUGGUUUACUUUUGAUCAAACAUUUCAAAUUGUCAAUUUUCAAUGCGCUACUAUCACGAGUUUGGAGUUUAACGAUAUAGAAGAAUAUAAUUUUUCAAAUUUUAAUAAAAAAUACUUUUAAACUAUCUAGAUUAAGGUUAACAUUUUGAUCUUGAAUUUAAAGUCCUAUACUCAAAUGCUGCGGCUUCUAUCUAUCGGUAGCACGGAGCGCUUCGUGUGACAAGUUGUUUUCAAUGCUGCGGCUUCUAAUCGACGACCGGUCGUAUAGACUUUGAUCUACACUAUUGAAAUAUUUUAGAAACUAAACUCAUAAUUUUUCGAUAUCAUUUACCUAUCAACAAGUAGUCUAAAUGAACGGCUGAAUAAAAAUCUAUAAAAAAUGAUGAUAAAAGAUUUAAAUUAGAUCAGAUAUACUGAUCUUACUCUAAAUAGUGAAAAAUUUCUAUAAAUUUCAUCACAUUUGGAUUGUUUUACACCAUUAACUUUAAACACACCAUAUCAGCCAUUAAAAAUUGUCAAUUUUGAGGAUCUUUUGAUCAUUAGUCAAUGAUAUCGAAAAAUCUAAAAUUUAGUUUCAAAUACUUUAUGUGUAGAAUAAGUUAACGGAGUGGUAUCGUCGAUUUGGAAGCCGCAUAUCCGAAACAAAAUUUGUAGUACGGAGGUCGUUGCUACCAAUAGCAUAGUAGGCGAACUAUAUAUAUAGAGCUUAGGCUUCUUAUGCUUUUCGAAAGUACGGGAGGCGUGCUUGUAAGUUGUUUCGAUGAUGGGACAAUCCGAUUCGGCGAUCAGGUUCGUUAACUUGAUCUCGCUAUUGGGAACUAUGUAGAAACAAAUUUCAUAUUUUUUUAUUUGUUUGUUAGUGAACGAGUAGCCUCAAAAUGAAGACUGAAAAUGAAAAUCUCUAAAAACAGUGAUAAAGAUUCAAAUUUAUUAAAUCGGAAGAAUUGAUCUUGUAUUGAUGAUAAGAAGAAUUUUCUAUUAAAUUUUCAUGUAAUUUGGAUACUUCUACACGUUGAACUUAAAAUGUUGCCACAAUCGACCGUUUAAAUAGUCAUUUUUUAGACAUUUUGAUCGUUAGUAAUGAUGUCAAAAAAUCUAAAAUUUGGUUUGUAGAUAGUUCCAAUAGGGUAGAUCAUGCUAACGGAGCGUCGAAUCGACGUCCUAUCAUUGAAAACAAAUUACAAGCACGGGGCCUCCGUACUUUUGAAAGCACGGGAAACGGGUAUAUAUAUAUAUAUAUAUAAUUGAGCUCAUAUACUUUUAAAAGUACAAGUCAUUGGUACUUGUAAUUUUCGGCCUUGGAUUUAGGAAUGUGCGGUUAAGAUGAUGUGGGCCCUUAGGGUUGAGUGGUGUGUGUGGUUGGUUGAAUAGUAUAAUCUAACGGGUAAAAUGAUCAAAGGCGUAGAUCUAACGGUAAAAAAAUUACAAGCACCAAGUGCUUUGUAAUUUUACAACACACGUAGCCGGACUCUAUAUAUAUAUAUAAUUGAUCGAGCUAGAAUAUACUUUUAGAAAUAUUACCCCCUUAGUGCUUGUAGGUUUGUAGCCUUUGGAUCUACUCCUUGAUUAUAAUAGCCUUUGGAUCAAACACUAUUUCAUCUAUCACCACCUACCACUAACGACCACAUCAUCUCAACCUACAUCUCUCCAUCCAAUGGCUAAAAACUCAAAAGCACCAAUUUCUUGGUGUUUUUGAGAGCCUUUUUAGCUCAACUCAUACAUAUAUAUAUAAUAUAUAAUAUAUAUAUAUAUAUAUAUUAUGUUGUGUGUGUGUGUUUGUGUGUGUGGUGUGUGUAUACAUAUGUUAUUGUGUAUAUAUAUAUAUAUAUAUAUAUAUAUAUAUAUUAUUAUAUAUAUAAUUAUUAUAUGUAAAAGAAUAAAAAUAAAAGGAUAAGAUAGAUAAGAGAAGAAAAGAGGUAAAAAUGUAAGAAUAAUAAAUUAUUUUUUCUAAAAAUUAUAUAUAAUUAUAAUAAUAAUUAUAAUAUAUAUAAUUAUAAAUAUAAUUAUAAUAUAUAUAAUUAUAAAUAUAAUUAUAUAUAAUUUCUUAUUAGUAUGAUUUUUGUCUUUACUUUUUUUAAUCUUUCUUAUAAUUUACUUUUAUAUUUUUAUUACAGCAAUAGUUCUUUAUUUUUUAGUUAUUUUUUUAUAUAAUUUUUUGACUCUUUUUUUACUAUUAUUUAUUUUAUUUAUAUAUUUAUUUCUACGGAAUUAUACUGCCGCAACGCGUGGGUCCUUCACUAGUCUUUACAAUAUGACCUAAUUUGGACUUUGCAUGCAGAUCAUGUACGUCUACGAAACUAUAGGAAAGUUUGAAUCAUAUGGAGUUGAGCUAGAAUACUAUCGAUAGCAAACGGGCUCCGUUGCCACCCAUUUGUUUUCGAUGAUGGAGCCUCCAAAUCGACGAUCGGCACGGUUGAUGAUCUAUAUCACUUGAAGUGUUUGGAAAUCAAAUUUCAUAUAUUUUUGACAUUAUUCUUUUAUCCAUCGAGUGGACACAAAAAUAAACGGUUGAAAAUGAAUAUUCUUGAAAAAAUGAUGAUAGGAGUCUUGUAAUCAAGAUCAAGAGUAUAGAUCUUGUUUUAAAUAGCUUGAAGAAUUUUCUAACAAAAAUUCAAUUGAUUUGAAUAUCUUUACACCGUUAAACGAGAAAACGCCUCAUGUCGACCAUUAAAAUUACAAAUUUUGAAACCCUUUGAUCAUUAGGCAAAUGAUGUUGAAAAGAUUUGAAAUUUGAUUUCUAAACACUUCAAAUGGUAUAAAUUAUGUUCAACGAUGCCGAUCGUCAAUUUGGAGGCUCUAUCAUCGAAAACAAAUGGGUGGCAACGGAAUCGUUUGCUAUCGAUAGUAUUCUAGCUCAACUCGAAUCAUAUGAUAUCUAUAAUUGAUAAGAGAACAAGUGGUGCACAAAUAAUUUGGUGCAUGCAUCGGAAACAGAUAAUAAUUUUUACUGUUCGUGAUUUACUUCUAAAUACUAUCGCAUCAUUAUUAGUUUUUUAAAGUAAGACAGAUCUAUAUAUCUAUAAUAUGAGAACAUUCCAUUCGCUAUUCACAUGAUUUCAAAAUUUAUACAGUUUGACCAUCCCUAGAGCAAGUGGCAAAGGACUUGGUGGUUGGUACCCAAGACUCAAGUUCGAAUUCUAGUUGAUUCAUAUUUUCAGCUAAGUUUAUUUUUAAAUGAAAUAAACGAAAGGGGUAGCAUGCUACCUAUCUCUCAAAAAAAAAAAAAAACAAUCUCAUGUUGGAAAUCUACCUUACCAAAAUAUUGUUCAACAUGACGAACAAAAUUAGUAGGACAAUCCCCAACAUACUAUUUGGCAAUCGCUUGGCUUUCAUAUUCAUGUCAUGCAUCCAUGCGAUGAGCAGUGCAUGGGAUAAUGUGACGUUCGGAAUUGCCAAAGCUAGUUAGGGUUGAAUUCCUUUUUACAAAGAACUUUAAUAUUUCUCUUUCAAAAACCUAAUGGGCCAUUCAUUUCUGGGUUCAUAAAUUAGUAGGCACAUGUCGCACAUCAUAGUAUUAUGGGUUAGGAGAUUUUAUGAUUUCAAGACUGGAUGAAAUUAGUAUAUAAUUAAAUUCCUAAUAAAUUUGCAAAUAUAAAAUAUAUGAUAGAAAUGCUAUAAAUUCGUAAAACGAAACAACCGCCGACAAUUAUGGGUUGGGCUUUCGAGCAUGGGCCGGACCGAGGCACGGUACGAGUACUCCUGGUCCUGUAAAUCGGCCCGUGUGGUGCCGGCACGUCCUGGCACGAGACGGGCCUAGGCUGUGCCAAGUCUAAGGUGAGGGCCCGGCCUGGCACAGCACGUCUUGUAUGUGCCGUGCCUACCUAGCCUGCACGGCCCGGCACUUUCCAGGGUAUCCCAACUCCCAAUUCUUUGGGAGUUGGCUUUGGGAGUUGGGAGCCACUGUGCCGCCCUUGGGGCUCUCCCAAGGUCUGUUAUGGCAGGCCCUUGGGGCUCUCUCAAGAUAGUUGGGUAUUUUGGUUCUCAUUGGACCAAAUCCCUCCCCAGCAGUUAAAAAUUUAACUGUUGGGGAGGGUAUUUUGGUCCAAAAAAUUUAUAAUUUUUUUUAAAAAUUUAAAAUUCUAUUAUUUUUAUAAAUAUUUUUUAAAAUUUGAAAUUUUUUCACUCAUACAUUAUUUUUCAAUAAUAGUAUUUUAAUUUUUAAUUUUCUAAAAUUCUAUAUAUUUUAAAAUAAAAUUAGAUAAAUAAGAAAUGGGCUGGCCCGAGGCCCGGCCCGGCACAGCGCAGCCCGACUUUGGGGCCGGGCCGCGCCGAGCUGACCUCCGGCCUGUUUCGGCCCGACCAAUGUGGGCCGUGCCGGCCCGGCACGACCCACAUUACACUCCUACGAGACGGGCUCACUUGGUCCUUGGUCAAGGAUAUUACGGUAUUAAAAAUCUGGAUCUAACUGGUCAAUUAAUUCAACCAAUUUGACCGUAAUCCAGCUCGUCGAGUGUUUCAAUUUCAUCUUUCCAACUGAAUUAAUUAAAAAUCAAAUUUUGAAGCAUUUGGACCCAUGGUUCAACCACUGAACGACUGAACAGGAUAAAAAAUCCAACUGCUUAAAAUUGUCUCAGCUCUUUGAGAAUUUUAUUUGAUAUUGAUCUUGCUGAUUUUAUAUUCUAUUACCACAUCCUGUGAAAAAUGAAACCCAAAAUUUUUUAUCCACUUUUAGGCUUUGUUUGGUAUUGAGGUAGAUUUAACGCUAUUAGAUAAAAUAGAGUUAAAGAAAAAGUAUAUAGGGAUAUGUUUCUGCGUUCUCCGAUGAAAUCGCAGAAAAUAUGUCACAACCGACUAACCGUAAUAACGGAAACAAACGGUAUUUUUCCAUUAUUGUUUCUCACCGCAAAAUGCAGUACCGACGUGAAUUUGUCCUCUAAAUUUAAUUAAAUAAAAUUUAAUUGGUUAUAUAAAUUCGUCUUCUAUAAUAUUACUCAAAUACUAAUAAUUAAUAUAUAAAUUAUAUAGAAAUGAUAAAUUAAAUAAAAUUAAUAUAUGAAGGUGUUUACUAAUGGGAUUUUUUGUUUCAAUAAUGUCGCACAGGGCCUUGCAAGUUUAUUUUUGCAAAACUAGCCAGUUGAAAAUUUACUUUGAGAAAGGCCAUGGGUCGCACUGCCACGCAGCCGCAAAAAAGUCAGGCACGCGGGGGGCCGGGGAUGGGCACGUUGUAGAAAGAUUUGGAGAAACCAGGGUAUUGGUUCACCGUGUCUAAACACGGGUGAACAAAUCAACGUGUUUAUUCUGGUCCACGUGAGUCGUGCUGCACCGAAGCGGGGGUGUGGUUUGCAUUUAGACGAGUGGAACCAUUUUACGGUGUCCUUUACUUUCAAUUUUUGCAACCGGCCUGACGUCUUUGUAUUUGGUGCAUCGGACUUAACGUUUUCGGGGUUUGACGGUAGAUUUGGACACCGGUGAUAUGGAUCACCGUGUUUAGAGAACGGUGAAUGGAUUCACGUGUCGGAACGGUGAUCAUUCACGUGUCCUUUUAGAAUCAUAUUUUUUCUUUUUCCGCACCCAUGCGACGUCAUGGUGCUUUAUUAAGCUCGAUCUUUCUUCGUCGUCUUGGAUUUCCCCUUCUCUAUCGCUCUCUUCCUUGCUCUCUUCUUCUCUGGCCGAAAAUGACCCGCGCAGCGCCUGUUGAGCAUCGAAUGCGUAUCAGUCGCCGCUUGUCGACACGACGUCGUCUAAGAACCAUGCGACGGCGCCGGUAGGAGCCCCCCCCCCCCUCAACUGCUGUCCCACCCCGUACCCCCCCCGUGAACUCUGUUUUAGUUCUUUUUUCUUUCAAGUUCCGAUCUAUCUCUUUCUUCUCGACUUCUUCUCUUUGUUGCUCUUCAUUGUUAUGAUUGUCGAAGCCAAGACGGCGCAGCUUUGUUGUGCGAGAAUAAGGUAGCUUGUUCUGUUUCGCUAACCUGAAGCUUUCUCUCUCUCUCUCUCAUGCUUCGGUCUCUGCUAUUUCCUCUGUGGCCCACACUGCCGAGCCGUCGGCGAUCAGGACUACCUUAGUCUGUUUCACACUCUAUUGGAAAGAUUCAUACAGUGCUAUGGAUAUGCCGAAAUAUCUGUUGUUGCGGAUUAGCUUAGCAGUCUCUAAGAAAGUAAAUCCGAAUAAAUAAGCUAAUUAUAUACUGAACUGGUGUUACUUUAGAUAAAUCGCAUCAAUUUACGAGUAGAGCAAGAUGAUGAUAUAUGUAGGCGGAAACAGCUAUAAUUUUGUGAGUUGAGAAUGAUAGAAUUAGUAGAGAUAUUAGCAGAUAUAGGUACCCAUAUUGGGAAGAUUCAAUAUCGAUUAGAGUUGUACCCUGUUAAUGCGUAAGUGGAUAAGUAUUUGGUAACUAGAUAUCAACAGAAGGAGACGUGGUAUAAAUAUGGAUCUGUUAUUUUACAGCGUAUUGGUCAACCCAUCUCUGUCCUUCUAAGCGAUAUUAAGUGGAACGUCGAGAAGGUAUAUAUAUAUGGUGUUAUGAAUUGUAUAGUUGCACAAUAUUUUUUAUAUUUAAAUUUGUAUUUUACUUAUUUAUACAAGAAAGAUUUGAUAUCUUUUUGGAUUGGUGUUUAUUUCAGUUUGAUACGUUUGGCCAAGACGAUAACAUUAUCUGAUCAGACAUUGUUCUACCGAUAUGUCAGAGAGUGGAUCGUUAUAUUACCCUAUCACAUGGAGGUACUGUUUCUGAUCAGUUUAUGGAAAAGGCGAGCUUUUGGGAGCACUUUUAUACGCUUCAAUAUGUACAUCCUAGAACCAGCAGCUAUGGUGGAGAGUAGACGUCGGCAUAACACCCGUUAUAUGUCCACCGAUGCAUAUUCACGAUAGGGAGCCACUUAUGCUGAUGUACGGACCCGACACCAGCACCAGUCCGCCAGGAUCACUCGAGAAGGUGAUAUUGUAUUAUAUUUAGCUCGGCGGCCAGAUCGUGGUCAUACAUACAGACUGCCCUCAUUUCAGGCUCUCACGGCCAGAUCAGCCUUUUAGAUUCUACCACUGGCACAAAUCUACCGGGAGCUUCUGCUUGUGAUUGAGCGGUUUUGUAGAGGCUUGCUAUUAGAGAUUAGCAGUUGGAGAUCUUGGAGCUUUGGUAAUGAGCAAUGAUGUUGGUGGUUGGUCUUGCGGACUGGUAUAGGCGAUGCGGUUGAGGAUGGAUCGGGUGAAGGAGAACUAUGAUAUGUAUUAUUUUAUAUAUUAUUUAAUAUUGGAAUUUAUUUUUGUAUAUUAUAGUUUUGCAUUAUUUGGUAUUGAUUAUAUUAUUGAGAUUUAUUGUUUGUGAUGUUGUAAUGUGUAUUAAUUUUUGUUGAUGUUGUGAUGUUAUUACUUUUGUGAUGUUGUUGAUGUGUAUUGAUAGGGUAUAUUUUAUCGUAUUCUUGUAAUGAAUUAUGUAAUUAUUUUUCUGCGGCAAACUGCUGGUUGGGACUGGGGUAGUUGUGUUGGACACGGUGAAUGGAUAGUGUCAAGCAAGUAAUGGAACGGUGUAUUUCACAGUUAUCAAAAUCCCUCUGAACAACGGAUCAUUCACCUGUGUAUUACAAAUGUAUCCCCUAACCGAAAAUGUUAAGUCAGUUACCAUGAAUACAAAGUAGCAAUUGCGCAAAAAGUAUAGAUAAGGCAUUAAAAUGAGAAGUGUUAAAAUGUAGGUACUACAAUAUAUGAUUAAAGUAAAUGGUUCAUUCGAGAAUCUAAACCCGGAUGAGACGAAUAAAAUAUCACCGUUGAUUAAUGUGCAUAACCGCGUGCGGUUUGAUAUAGUGAGAAUACUGGUGAGACUGAUAUAAGUUAUAUUGAAACGGUGAUUGUUGGCUUUCCUGUGUGGUUCUAACACGGUGUGAAAGAUACCUGUGUUCAGAGCUUGACUGAAUAAUUCUUGGAGUCCCAUCGAGGGCUGGUAUCCAUAUGUAGGCGCUGAUGCGCUGGCGUCAAUUAUUGAGCGCAGUCCCUGUGUGGUACUUCAGGGUCAAGUUUUUGUUAACUAAAAAAUUUAUACUCACAAGAGAGCCAAUUUUGCAAAUAAGAAUAUUGCCAAGGUAGCGGCUUAUAUAUGCAAAUUAAAGAACGUAAUUUUAUAAUAUUUUUGAUCAGGUUUAUAUUAUUUUCGGAUGUUAUUGGAUUACGAAGCAUAAAUUUUUGGAUUUUAUUACGGACGAGACGUGUGAAGGACACGAGUAAAUUUCUCACGGCGCUGAUACCUUUUGUUCAGGCCAGGAUAAAGUCGAAGUGAAAGCUCCUAUGAAGGUUUACCACAAAAGGUAAAGCGGCAGGAAGCUAAAAACUCAUAGAGGCUUUACCGCACCCGAUCAUUUCCCGCUGGGUCACGACCGACCGAUGUCAUCACUGCGCAAGUCAAGGGAUCUCGGGUCGCGCGCGAAUGAGAAGAAGCGUCUCUCGUGCUUUGAAGUGGCUGUCGCCGCUCAACGGCGUCGGGCGGCAGAGGCGACGAGUGAUGUACUUCUUGAAUUCAAGAAGGUUGGACGACAAGGGCCGCCCUUAUUUCGCUGCCGUCACCCGACCCUUCUCCCGCGCCUCUCAAGUAGACGACCGCCUUCCUCCCCCUCCCUUCCGCGCUCCGCAGCCGCGUCUCUCCAUCUCACCUCCCGGUACGCCGGACGUUCCCCUUUCUCGCCUCGAACUCACCUCCCCUCGGCCGACUCCCCUCAUCGUCAUAUUAUUCUCCUCGCCGACCGGCGCGUCCUCCCCUCUCGUCCCUGUGCUCAACAAACAACUAACAAUCGACGAGCAGAGCAGGAGCAGGAGAGGAGCAAGAAGCAGGGAGCUUGCAUCCCGAGUGCGAUAAAACUCAUGCGGGAAGUCGUGCGCGCGGCUCCCGGCGUCUGCGGGCUCCACGCACUUCACCUUCGACCGGCGGCAACUGCAGCGCGAUCAGAGUCGGGCGGGAGUCGCGCGACAGGACGAGAUCGUCGCGAACGUCGUGGCGGCCGCCGAGGCCGCCGUCGGGCACGUGCCCAGGAAGUGGGCCAAUGUGCGCGCCUUCCAUAUCAAGGCCGCCGAGUCGCUGGCCCUGCCCAUCUACUACGACCCCGCCUCCGGAAUGAGAAUCGAGAGCAAAACCAAGGACGAAGUUAUAGCCAACGAAGAUUCUACCGAGAAGAAGCUUAAAAAAAGAAAGAGAAGCAUGGAAUCUGAAUGACUGCCGAUUCUCGGAGCAGUCGAAUAUAAAUUCAUACAUUCAUACAUUAGGAUGAGUUGCAUAACUUUUUUUUUUUUCUUAAAUUCACUUGUUAUCUUGGCCUUUUGAAUGAGGAGAUCUUGUAGAAUCUUGUGCUUGUAUUUGGUUCUCUCGUAUGAUACUACUGAUGUCAAACUAUUGUACAAGCUUCAAUCAGUUCUUGUAGUAUUCAUAGAUUGAGAUCUUAGUAGUUAGUAGGAGUCCAUGAGUUAGCUGAAUUUGUGAUAUCGUUUAUGGAUUAGUACUCGUGAGUUUGAAAAUGUCGUUAAUUAUGCAUUUCCUGAUCUCCUCAGAAGAUUUUACUAUGUACUCCUUGACCUGUAUUAUCUUGAUUUAGUUGUCUAGUUUUUAGUGCAAGUUUAGGUGCCAAAUCAAAUGAAUCCCAAUUUUGUUUUGAUACUGACAGUAGGUAUAUUAGCAUGUCAUAAUAGAUAUAUGUUCGAAAACAUACUAAUAGAAGGUGAUCCAUUGUCCUAAUAUACCGAUAACAGAUGUAAGGGAUGAUGCUUAUCAGUUUUAAGGCAUCAACCAUGUAAUGUUUGGUUCUCAUCAGUCGAAGUUGGUAAUCAAACAAAUGUUCUGGUCACAUAUCUUGCGCAUGAUUUUGUGAAAGCUUCAAAGCACAGAGAACUCUCUCUUUUGUUCUAAAAUGUUAAAAAUAAUAAAAUCGAAGAUGGAUUUAUUCUGUUCUUUAAUCCUGAUGCUUUAUUUCAUUUACCAGAAGAGAAAAUUAGGCUUUUUUUUUUUCUUUUUUUUUUUUUUGGCGUACGUGUACUGUGACUAGAAUGAUUGUUUAAUAUGUAACUUCAAAUCAUUACUUGAGGAGAAGAGUCUUUCAAACUAUUUGAUAGAAUUUAGAGGGGCUAAUUACAGAAAUUAAAAUUUCAGGAGGUUGUUUAGGGAAAAAAUGCAAAAGUUUUGGGGGGCGUUUGUACAUUUUUGCGUUGGUCUAAUGGCUGUAUUAAGGCACAUCAAGCAAUCGAAGAAGUUAUAACAUUUCGACUCAACGAUACCGGGUCAUUUUUUUGUUUAUUCUUAUUGGAUUAAUUCUAAGUUUCUAGUUCUUUGCUUUGAAUACUUGUUGCUGUUUUGAUUUUCCGAAGCUACGUUUGAAUUGGUGUACCCAAGAUUGUAUACUAUUUCGGUAAAAAAAUUUCCUAAUUGUUUGUACUCAAUGAGAAAAUAUAACAUCUAGAACAAAAUUGGUAAUAUAAAGUGUAGGGCAAAUUUGCUAUUCUCGCCAUUUUUUUACAUUAAUUUCAUAUGAUUGGAUGUGAAAUGCCAUAUGUAUGAAAAGAACUCUAGUACGGAGCUUCCCAACGAUGUUCGCCAUAUGCUAUUUUUAUUUUUGUGCACAAGUAAUUCUUUUUUUAAAUUUUAGUAUUAAAAAUAUCCAGCGAUCGUUGGAUGGAAGCAAAACUACAAGUGAUAGCAGAUUAGAAGUUUCCUAACGAGAUGCCGUUGGGGAGCAUUCUUCCGAAGUUUAUUCUGUUUGCAUAUCAAAAAGUGAGUUAUAAAUUUUACACUCAUCCAUUAGAUAAUUUUUUUAAAUUUUUAGUAUAAAAAAAUUAAUAAGAUAUUAGUCCUUUAGUUGGGAUGUACCCAUUAGUUUUACAGAUUGUCGCUAUCGUUGUAGUGACAACUGCCCCAACGGACGGCCGCCCCAAUACUGAAGAUAUUCCUGACGGUCACCCCAAUACACAAAUAUUGAUGUGUAGAAUUAGGAAUGUAAAACGGGCUGCUUGGUCCGGCACGACUAUGGGUCGUACCAGGCACGGCACGGAUACUAUAGAACCUGUGCCGGACUCACCCAAUCCGACAUCACCGAUCGUGCUGGGCCACUUCAAUUGAGCCCGUCGGCUUGAUACGGCACGACUCGUUACGGGUCUGGGCUUUGCCAGGCCAACAGUUAGGCCCGUGGUUGGGCACGGCAUAGCCCGCAUGAGCCGUGCCUACAGAGCCAGCAUGGCCUGGUCUUGAGACUCCUGUGGCCCUUAGGGAAUUGGGGACCAGGCCCAACUCCCCAAGCUGUCUUACGUCUCUGGGGACAAAAAAAAAACAACUUUUCUAAAAAACUCUUUUUUUAAUAUGUUUAGAAAAGAGUUUUUUAAAAAAAGUAUAAAAAUUUUAUAAAAUUUUAAAAUUAUAUUAAACAUUUAUUACUUUAUAAAUAUNGCGGCCUCCGCCGAGGCCGCCGUCGGGCACGUGCCCAGGAAGUGGGCCAAUGUGCGCGCCUUCCAUAUCAAGGCCGCCGAGUCGCUGGCCCUGCCCAUCUACUACGACCCCGCCUCCGGAAUGAGAAUCGAGAGCAAAACCAAGGACGAAGUUAUAGCCAACGAAGAUGCUACCGAGAAGAAGCCUAAAAAAAGAAAGAGAAGCAUGGAAUCUGAAUGACUGCCGAUUCUCGGAGCAGUCGAAUAUAAAGUCAUACAUUCAUACAUAAGGAUGAGUUGCAUAACUUCUUUUUUUUUUUUCUUAAAUUCACUUGUUAUCUUGGCCUUUUGAAUGAGGAGAUCUUGUAGAAUCUUGUGCUUGUAUUUGGUUCUCUCGUAUGAUACUACUGAUGUCAAACUAUUGUACAAGCUUCAAUCAGUUCUUGUAGUAUUCAUAGAUUGAGAUCUUAGUAGGAGUCCAUUAGUUAGCUGAAUUUGUGAUGUCGUUUAUGGAUUAGUACUUGUGAGUUUGAAAAUGUCGUUAAUUAUGCAUUUCCUGAUCUCAUCAGAAGAUUUUACUAUGUACUCCUUAACCUGUAUUGUCUUGAUUUUGUUGUCCAUUUUUUAGUCCAAAUUUAGGUGCCAAAUCAAAUGAAUCCCAAUUUUGUUUUGAUACUGAAUUACUGAUAGGUAUCUUUGCAUGUCAUAAUAGAUAUAUGUCGAAAACAUACUCAUAGCAGGUGAUCCAUUGUUCUAAUAUACCGAUAACAGAUGUAAGGGAUGAUGCUUAUCAGUUUUAAGGCAUCAACCGUGUAAUGUUUGGUUCUCAUCAGUUGAAGUUGGUAAUCAAACAAAUGUUCUGGUCACAUAUCUUGCGCAUGAUUUUGUGAAAGCUUCAAAGCACAGAGAACUCUCUCUUUUGUUCUAAAAUGUUAAAAAUAAUAAAAUCGAAGAUGGAUUUAUUCUGUUCUUUAAUCCUGAUGCUUUAUUUCAUUUCAUUUACCAGAAGAGAAAAAUAGGUUUUUUUUUUUUUUUUUUUGGCGUAGAUGUACAAGAUUUGUGACUAGAAUGAUUGUUUAAUAUGUAACUUCAAAUCAUUACUUGAGGAGAAGAGUCUUUCAAACUAUUUGAUAGAAUUUAGAGGGGCUAAUUACAGAAAUUAAAAUUUCAGGAGGUUGUUUAGGGAAAAUAUGCAAAAGUUUAGGGGGUGUUUGUACAUUUUUGCCUUGGUCUAAUUGCUGGAUUAAGGCACAUCAAGCAAUCGAAGUUAUAACAACAUUUCGACUCAACGAUAUCGGAUCAUUGUUUUGUUUAUUCUUAUUGGAUUAAUUCUAAGUUUCUAGUUCUUUACUUUGAAUACUUGUCGCUGUUUUGAUUUUCCGAAGCUACGUUUGAAUUGGUGUACCAAAGGUUUGAAUUGGUGUACCAAAGAUUGUAUACUAUUUCGGUAAAAAAAUUUCCUAAUUGUUUGUACUCAAUGAGAAAAUAUAACAUCUAGGACAAAUUUGGUAAUAUAAAGUCUAGGGCAAAUUUGCUAUUCUCGCCAUUUUUUUACAUUAAUUUCAUAUGAUUGGAUGUGAAAUGCUAUGGGCCUGUUUGUUUCGAGGGAAGUGGGGUGGAAGUGGGACGGGAAAAGUGAUUUUCGGUGAAAACUGACCACUUCCGCCGUUUAGUUCACCAUAAUUUUAUUACGCCCGAAAGUCCAGUUCACCUAAAAUAAUGAACUUGACUUCGCCCUCCCAUAGGGUGAAGUCAAUUCCGGUGAAGUGAAAAAAAGGCAAAAAUGGAUUAAUGUGUUAGGGUUACCUUUUAUAAAAUAUGAUCAAAUUGAUUAGGUAAGCUUUAAUAUAUUUUUUGUUUAAUUUGUAUAUUUAGAAAAUGAUGAAAAAUGAAUUUGUUAAAUGUUAAUAAUUUUUUAACUUUAGAAUUUUAUUUGUUGCAUUAUUAUAAUUUAUAUGCAAACAAAUAAUAUUAUUUUUUAAAAUUUUAUUUUAUAAUUAUACAUAUAUAUAAUUAUAUACAUAUAUCAUUAUAUUAAUUUUUAUUUAUUAUAAUUUAUUAUUUACUAUAAGUUACAAAAUAGACAAUGAUAUUAUUUUGGAGGUAAGUAUACGGGGGUGGAGAGCUACACUUUUUACGUUAUCUACUUCCUAUCAAACAAAUAACAGAACUCGUAGAACUGCACUUCCACAGUUAGAAACAAACAGCAGAAGUGAACUAAUUUUCACCCCAACUCCACUUCAACUCAAAGUUUAUUUCCACCCCAAGUCUACUUACGUUGAAACAAACAUGCCCUAUAUGUAAGAAAAGAACUUUAGUAUGGAGCUCCCCAACGAUGUUUUAUUAAGAUGUUGCAAUUCGUCGCCACAUGCUAUUUUUAUUUUUGUGCACAGGUAAUUCUUUUUUUGAAUUUUAGUAUUAAAAACAUCCAACGAGCGUUGGAUGGAGGCAAAACUACAAGUGAUAGCAGAUUAGAGGCUCCCUAACGAGACGCCGUUGGGGAGCAUUCUACCGAAGUUUUAUUCUUCUUGUAUAAAAAUGAGUUAUAAAUUUUACACUCAUCCAUUCAAGAAUUUAGAUAAUUUUUUUAAAUUUUUAGUAUAAAAAAAUUAAUAAGGUAUUAGUCCUUCAGUUGGGAUGUACCCAUUAGUUUUACAGAUUGUCGCUAUCGUUAUAGUGACAACUGCCCCAACGGACGGCCUUCCCAAUACUCAAGAUAUCCCUGACGGUCACCCCAAUACACAAAUAUUGAUGUGUAGAAUUAGGAAUGUAAAACGGGCUGCUUGGUCCGGCACGACUAUGGGUCGGACCAGGCACGGCACAGAUACUAUAGAAGCUGUGCUGGACUCGCCCGAUCCAACAUCACCGAUCGUGCUGGGCCACUUCAAUUGAGCCCGUCGGCUUACUUGGUACGGCACGACUCGUUACGGGUCUGGGCUUUGCUAGGCCAACAGUUAGGCCCGUGGUCGGGCACGGCAUAACCCGCAUGAGCCGUGCCUACAGAGCCAGCAUGGCCUGGUCUUGAGACUCCUGUGGCCCUUAGGGAAUUGGGGACCAGGCCCAACUCCCCAAGCUGUCCUAAGUCUUUGGGGGACAAAAAAAAAAAAAAACUUUUCUAAAAAACUCUUUUUUUAAUAUGUUUAGAAAAGAGUUUUUUAAAAAAAAGUAUAAAAAUUUUAUAAAAUUUUAAAAUUUAUUUUAAACAUUUAUUACUUUAUAAAUAUUUUAAUAAAUUUUAUUUCUUUAGCUAACAUAUUAUAAAAAGAAAACCAUUUUAAUUUUUUAUUUUUUAAAAAGUUAUAAAAAUUAAAGGGCCCGGAGAGCGGCCCAGUACAGCCUAUGCCAUUCGGGCUGGAGAGUUGAACAUCCAUAAAAUUUGGCCCGGCCCGGCUUGAAUUCUAAUAUGGCCGGCCCUGGCCGACCCCUGGCCUGGUUUGGCCCGAGUGAAUGUUGGCCGUGCCGGGGCGGCACGUCCCACAUUACGUCCCUAGCGGAAUGUGAAGUUUUGUAUUUACUUUUUAGGUUAACUAUAUAUAAUUUUCUGUAAAUAUAUUGAAUAACAAAUAUAUUUUUAUAAAGUUUAAUUUUUUAUUUUUGUAUCUAUAAAAAUUCUGUCGUUUUUACAUAUACCGAUGUUGUUAGGAGCUGUUAGAAAAAUAUAGUAAACCAUGAGUACUAAAAUACUUAAUGCUGGUUAGCGAAUGAGUUAAGUUGAUUUUUUAAUUCUUUUUAUAUUAUUAGGUAAAAUAUUUUUUGGAAUGAUAUUUCUGCACAAUUUUAGCAGUUGAGGCUUUUGAAAAGACUAGUUAUAAUAUGCGAGCGAUGCACAUCACAUUUAAUUAAAUUAAAUUUAUAUUUAUAUUUUAAAUUUAAAUAAUUAUUAGUGGUAUAAAUCUAUUUGUCAAUUACUUUUUUUUAUUUUAAUUUUUUAAUGUGUAUCCACAUUUUAAAAAUUUGAAGUAAUUCAAAAUUUUAAAUUAAUGAAUUCAGAUUUAAUUAUAAACAAAACUCCAAAUUUCAAGUUAAUUUUGAAUCCAUAAUUUGAAUAUAAAUAGUUAUUAGACACAAUGUGUUUACACGUCAAAAUGAAUGGAUUAAUUGCAGUUGAAUUUCUAUUUUGAAUUCAGUAUUUAAAUUAUGUUUCAAAAUUUAAAUUCAAAAUUAAAAUUUGAAUUUGAAUUCAAUUUUUUAAAUUCAAAACACAAAUAUGCGUUUAAAUUUGAAUUUAAAAUCUGAAAUUAAAAUUUAAAUUUAAAUUCAAAUUAAAAUUUUUAAUUUAAAAUUUGAAUUCAAAAUCUGGAUUUAAAGAUAAAAUUAAAUACUAAAUCUAUAUUUGAAUUCAGAAAUGAAAUAUGAAUCCGACUCGGGUGCUUCUAAUAGCACCAAGCACUUGGUGCUACCAAAAUUUUCACCGUUAGGUUUACCUCUUUGACCAUUUCUAUCCAUUAGAUCAUAUUAUUCAACCAACCAUCAACUCAACCAUAGGAGAUCACUAUCAUGGUAACUACCAUUCAUCCACACUAACCGAACUCAUAUAUAUAUAUGAUGUAUUUAUAUGUAUAUGAUAGUAGUAUAUUAUAUAUUGAGUUCGAUUAUGAUGUUUUUAAUUGUAUCAAGCAUACUAUCAAGUUUCUUACCAUUAGAUUUAUAUCCCUUUCAUAAUUCUCACAUAUUAGAUUAUAAUAUUCAAUGGACCACCUACUAAAUUUUUGAGGACUUAGAAGCAUAUAUAUGGUAGUUAUAUGAUUCAACCAUUUUUUUUAUCUUUCCUGAAUCUCAGGACCAACUGCCUCUUAAAUAGCAAACGUGCAUAUUACCGUAAAAAUUGCACGUGCGUAUAUUACUAUACUUGUUCUCGAGGCGACCGCGCAUGAAUAGCCCUUCUAUAUCGGACUCCAAACAAAUCCUCAACGGCAACAGGAGAAUUACUGUUGUAGAUUUUACGAAGAUAUUUUCGCUUCCUCCAUCCCACGUCAGUCUGCAGCUGCGCUAGGGGUUCCCAAGCAGUCGUGCACGCGGCCCGCCAUCCCGCGCUCCCCGCUAUGCCCCACCGCCGACUCCUCCGCCUCCGCUCCCCGCAGUACCCCUAACCCUAACGCAUAACCUUCCCUCCCUCCGAUCUCUAUUUUUUCCUCCCGAUCGGUUAGUGUGGAUGAAUGGUAUCCUCUCCAUCUCUUUCAUCUUUUUCUGGCCCGCCUUGAGAGAGAGUGGGGGGAUUCGUCGUCGGGAUGGAGGCGCCUCCGCUGUGCGAGUUCUGCUGCGGGCAGCGGGCGCUGGUGUACUGCAAGGCGGACGGGGCGCCGCUCUGCCUGCCGUGCGACGGCAUCGUCCACUCCGCCAACGCGCUCUCCCGCCGCCACCCCCGCGCCCUCCUCUGCGACCGCUGCCUCUCCCUCCCCGCCGCCCUCCGCUCCCCCGACCUCCGCCUCUCCCUCUGCCACUCCUGCUCGAACAACCACCACCACCACCGCGCCGCCCGCCUCCUCCCCCUCGCCUGCUACUCCGGCCCCGCCGCCCCCGCCGACCUCUCCUGCCUCUGGUCCGAUGCCAAUUCCAAUUCCACCGUCCCCGCCUUCGACCUCCCCCCUCUCCCCGACGAGGGCCUUGCCACGAUCGUCGACCCCUGGAUCGCCGCCGCUUCCUCCUCCUUGCUCGUGCCUGAUGCCGAAGAACUGCAGGACUUCUUGCAGAACCGAUCUGAUCUGCCCAAGGCAAUAAUCCUGCUCCCAUUGCUCUCUAAUGUCUAAAAUAAAAUAUCAUAUUCCACCAUCAAGUUUUUUCUUUUUUUGAAAAAUAUAAGAUCAGUCACUUUCAAGGUAAAAAUAUACUGUUCUACUAAAUUAUGAAUAACAAUACUACUCAAGGAGCGAAAACCAAACUCCUUAUUUUUAAUUAUGGAUGAGGAUUCUCAUACCGAAUAAGUUAAACUUGAAUAACUUAUUCCGACAUCUAAACAUAACUAAAUUUGUUUUCUUUUAAUUUCUUAUUGAUUUUGCUAAGAUUUUCCAUUUUAUGAACUAGUGCUGAUUGAGUUUGCAUUGCCAUGCUGUAUUUUAUGCCUUCUUGUUAAUCGGUUUGAUAAUUUCCUCGUAUUACUCCUAAUCCUUAAAGGGGCAAAGCAUUAUUUUUAUGUUUUAUUACUGCCAUUUAUUAUAAGUUGCAUAAACUUGGGGUGUACAGGUGAAUUGUCCUCGUUCUAUGGGAAUAUACAAUAAUGAUCACGAUGUGCUCUACGACUGUGUCAGCAGUGGUGACAUUGGCUUCACGAUUGACGACGAUGGCGAGAUGAUUGGCUACUUUCAUAGCGUUGCCGAGUACCCAUACCAAGGGGCGAGAUUGGAGGGCGUAUUGUCGGAGAAGAACAUUUCAGCUGCAGAUUCCUGUGGUCGUGUCGAAAAUGCUUUAGAGGUACUUCCUGUUUCUCGAUGCACUUAGUAGUCCGAAUUUGUCUCGAUGGAAAAGAAAUUUGAUGAACUUUGAUGCGAUUCUCUAUGCGAUGUUAAAUUAGAUGUCAAAAUAAAGGCGACAUGAUGCCAAUUGAUAAGUUAUUAGUGAAGUAGCAAUACAUCGUUAUGAUGAUUGUUUUCUUGAAGUGCAAUUAUUUCCAAAAGCGAAAAGAUGGACUAUUCGUUUGCGACACAAAAACCAAUUAUAAUUUGCGAUACUUGAUUUUGAGGAUUAGCCACUUGGUCCCAAGUUGUGUAAUCGAAAGGUUUUCCAUAUUAUCUCCUUUGUAUCAUCUUUUUAUUCAUCUCAGUCCUCUUCGAAAGACAUAUUUGUUAGUGACACAAAAAAGCCAGUCUCCCUACUGUUUGCAUCUGAAGCAUCAGUACCAAUCGCCACUUUUAGAUGGUUUGUGAGGUUUUAAAAUGAAAACCACUGAACCUUACUAGAUCCAGAAAACAAAGGACAGUGUUCUGAGAAUGGCAGACACUGGCAAUGGUUCAGGGAGCAACAAUGACAAUUUCUCGUGGAAUCACAACCAGAGAGAGAGGGAUAGAGAAAGAGAAGAAAAGGAAGAAGUAGAAGUUGGGGAAUAAGGCUUCGACUACACAAACUUGAAGAAGAUAACAUAGAUCUUGACUUUCCGAAAUUUUUAUUCUCCGAAUACAAUGGUCUAUUAGGGCUGAUUUAUUGGAAAAAUAUAUAUCUUACUCCUAAUCUAAAAGUCAAAACUAUUUGCUCAAUUUUUAAUGAUUUAUUCAAAUGAAAAUACAUAUCCUAAUUUUUAAUGAUUUUAAAACCUUCUGUCCACUAUGUUCUUGUAUGCUUUACUGUGGUUUUGUUUAUAUUUUUCCUUUACCAAUAUGGGAGAAAAUGUAAUCACACAAUAUUAUGCAGGCAUCAGUGAAUUAAACAUCUAACAAAAUUGCUCGGCUACUCUAUUACCACCUCACAAUCUUUUCCAACGUCUGGCUCUUUUGGCUUUUUUAAGCAUUCGUUGUUGAAUCCUCUGUAGCAACUAAUGAUUGUGGUUAAUAACGGAAGCUUUAAUGACAACAUUGAAUAAAUCUAAUUGUUGAAUGGACAAAAGCUGCCCUCUAUCUUGACUACUACAAAGAUUUAAUCUUCAUUUUAGAUUCUUGAAUUGCUCUUCCAUUCUGGCCUCUUGGAUGCAGGUCCCAUUGUUCAGAACCACAACUGUUUGCCAACAUAUUAUUUUCUGCUAAGACUUUUUGUAUCAUUCCUAUCAGACCACUUGACUUCCUGUGUGAAGUGUAAGGAGUAAGCAAUAAAAUAUCCGAUAUAAUACUCUUACGGUAAGCUACUAAGUUUUGGCCAUCAAUUUGCUACACAACUUCUGAAAGUAUUUUCCUGCGUGCAUUGUUUAUGUUUAUUAUCAUGCAUUGAGCUUCAAUGUAGAAAAGAUAAUAUUUGGUAUUUAAUCAUGUAGUUUAUCCAAGCUUUUGAAAUGUUGGUGUUUGAAAUUUCAAUAUUUUGUUGCAGGCAUCUUCUUUAGUCCAAUAUGAUUGCAGGACGAUUCCUUCUUCCCAUAUUGUUGAGCCAGCUAAUGUUCUGCAGGCUUUGAGUGAUUCGGACCACUUCUUAUUAAGCAUGAGCAGCAACAGAAACAUAAACCUGAGUUUUCCUCACGGCAAUGUCUAUCCGAAUAUCUCACUUUCAAUCUCAAACCUCACUGGUGAAAGUAGCGUAGCUGACUACCAGGACUGCGAGGCAUCACCUAUAUUCCUUGCGGGCGAGUCACUUUGCGAUUCUAAUAUGGAAACUGGGCAACCGCAGGCAAGGAAUGAAGCGAAAAUGAGAUACAACGAGAAGAAAAAAAGCCGGCUGUAUGUGGUUUGACCUGAUACUAGUUGUUCGUAUGAUUCUGCUUAUAUACUUUACUAUGUUAGCUAUCUACAAUUUUAAAUAUCUAUAAUUUAACUAUAUUCGCUUUGGGUUGGUAGCUUUGUGCAGUUUUCUUGGUUUCUAGCAAUUGUCCACUAAGGUAGAAAACACAUUUGAACACAGAGUAGUACUUUUAUCACUAGAGGAAAAGUAAUCUGCAACAGUGGCACUAAGUCAGUCGUACUUAGUCCAUCCCAGCAUUGAUGCAAGCACACCUAUAUUAAUGAUCCAUUCCAUUUGAUGCAAUCAAAAGUGUUGGAAGUUUCUAGAAACUAAAGAGUCAUGGUGUUUGGACAAAUUCGGGUGAAGUAGUUUACGAACUGACACUCUCUAGAGCUAAUAUAAGUUGUUUGCUCAUUUAAGAGUCUAUUCCUCGAGUUCCUGCACAUAUGUAUAUACAUUUUUCCUCAAAUAUAUGUAUAAAUGAGUCGGCAUGCAUUGGACGUAUGUAUAAAAAUAUCUUGCACCAUGGAACGGUCAUCUCAUCUGAUAGAAGCAUUCAAUAUUUUAUUGUUGGAAUAUGAAAUUCUUUUGAAAAAAUAGGCAGAAUAACAAGCUGGCUGUAAUAUCUUUGCACUCAUGUAUUUUUCUCAGAGGAUUCUAAUAGUCAUUUUAGGUAUAGAUUAGUGGACAUUCGCAUGUUUGGUUGCGAAUGAGAAUGCAUUUAUAGACCAUUGUCUGUGUACAGCAUGCCCUUUCUCUAGCGAGGCUUCUUAGACAUAGUAAGUGUUAGAAAUGGUGCUGUUUUAAUCGUAUAGAGUUGCUGCCCUUAAAGUAACAUAGUGCACGCGCAUCUUUACUUCGAAAUGAUACACUGCAUUAUAACUUUCUGACAUUGGUGAUUAUUGUGGACAUUUUCUCGUGUGUUUGGAAAUCUAUGUAAUACUUGAAGAAGGUCCUUAUCUAGUGUUCGCACAUAAUUCUUGCAUUUGUUGGUGGCUUCACUCUCUUCUGUUAUAAGGUAGCUCUGUUUGUUGGGAUUGUGAUUGCAUAUAUGACAGUAAAUUUCGUACGUUUUAAAACGACAUUUUGAAUAAAUGCACUUAUGCAGCUUUGGGAAGCAGAUAAGAUACGCAUCACGGAAAGCAAGAGCGGAUACAAGAAAACGCGUCAAGGGCCGGUUUGUCAAGGCUGGUGAUGUUUACGACUACGACCCUGUCAAAAAGGCAAGCAACUAAAAGGCAAAUUCCUCGGGAUCUUCUUGCCUUCGUGAAGCAGCAGGUACUGACGACAGGUCUUACUGUUAUUUGAUUUGGAGAGAUUCUGAAGGCGAAAUGAGUUUUUUGGCGGCCGCUAAAUAUAACGUGUGAUUGAAGAUAAUCACACCUCAAUUUUGAGCCUCUGCGGAGGCUAUUCCUUCUCCUUUUUUCCCCCUUCUUUUUGCGUCCUUUUCAAUUCUUUGACCGUCAGAGUUGCAUAACUCUUGGCCUGCAAUAAUGUUAUUGUUGUUCUGCGUGUUAUCAUAAUUCGGAAUGUGAAGUGAUUUCUACAGUUUUGCUCGAGAAAAGACGUGUCUUUUAAAUUUUGCUGAUUCAUAGCACACGUUAAAUAUGAACAAUAUUCAUAUAAUACGUAUGAUUAAAGUCAAUGCAUCUAUUGUAUCUGUUGAGCUAAUUAUAUUGGGCCUAUUUCUUAUUUGGGCCUUGCUAUUUGGGCUAUAUAAUUUGGUGAAGUCAAAAUCUCCUCUUUCUAUAUUUUCUUAUCAUGUAUGUGGGCUCCUAUUUGUAAGCUUUUGGAUCAUAAUUCUUUUGAUCCAAAUGCCCAUAUUGUUAGCCUCUUCUCUUAGGGAGCUAAAGUGGGAUAUUAGAAUAGAGAAAAAAUAGAGAGAGAAGUAGAGAGUGAGAAAAGAAGUGGGAGAAAGAGAGAAACCCUAGAGUUGGUUUUGAUCUUGGUUCUAUCAAGAAGGAGGUGAGAUCUUCCUUGUGAGGUGUGGUUUACACCAUUUGGAUAGAGCUAGAGAUUAUUGGAGCUCUCUUUUAUAUCUUAGAGUUAAGGUGAUAUUUCUCCCAUUUGAAUCUCUCUUGUAAUCUCCAAAUUUAUAGCGGAAGCUUCUUUUGCAUUGUUCUCUUGUGGAUGUAGACAUAGCCGAACCAUGUAAAUCCUUGUGUUCUGGUGAUUUGGUUUAUUUUGUUAUUGCUCUUGUGCUUGGCUCUCCAUUUGAUGCUUAUAGAGAGUGGGUUGUAAAAUUGCCCACCAAGUAUUUGUGAAAUUGCCAUCAAUAUUUUUCACCCUCAUUUGACAACAAUUGGUAUCAGAGCUUGAUUGGUGGUUAUCUAAGCAUUCAUUUGUGUUUAUUCACUCAUCUUUCAAAUGGAGAAAGCUAUGGAAUUUGAGAAGUUGAAUGAGAGCAAUUGGCCUACAUGGAAAAUCAUGAUAGAGGAUUAUUUAGUUGCAAAAGAGCUUGAUUUACCAAUAUUAGGAAAAGGUGCAAAGCCUACUAAUAUGGAUAAUCAUGAAUGGGAUAUACUUGACCGAAAAUGUUUGGCGGCGAUUAGACCAUGCAUUUCAUCAUCAAUUUUAUUUGAUGUCUAUCAAUGCAAGACCGCAUCCGAAUUGUGGGAGACUUUGGAGCAAUCAUUUGAGCAACCUUCCGGUGUGAACAAGAUGCAUGCAAUGAAGAGACUCUUUCUCUUGAAGAUGCAAGAAGGUUCUACUAUUCGUAAGCAUGUGAGUGAGUUUAACUCUAUUGCGGCACAAUUGAAGUCUCUCAAAAUUAACCUUGAUGAAGAAGUCCUUUGUUUACUACUUUUGAGUUCUUUACCUUCAAGUUGGGAUACUCUUGUUACUAUGGUGGUGAACACAAUGGGGAACAAAUUCAAGUUGAAUGAUAUUGUUGCUUCAUUGUUGAAUGAGGAAACUCGCAAAGCCACAAAUCAAUUGUCUAGUGAUUUGAGUCAAGCACUAACUAUUGAUGAAAGAGGAAGGUCACCGAAGCGAGGCCAAUAUUCCAACACAAAGGGAAGAUCUCAAAGUAAAGGAAGAUCAAAAUCACAAGGUAGAAAGCUUACUUGUUGGUAUUGCAAGAAGACGGGUCAUGUAAGAAAGAAUUGUUAUGCUUUAAAAAAUAAGCAAAAAGGUAAAGACAAGGAUGUCAAGAAUGAAGCUAACAACACUUCGGAUGGUAAAAGUGGAGUCACAUUAAGUGUUGCUUGCGCGGUCUCUUCUUGUGCAAACACUUUGGUUUUGGAUUCCGGUGCUUCUUUUCAUAUAUGUCCCGAUCGAUCAUAUUUUUCUACAUACAAAGGAGUAGAUGGUGAAUUUGUUUAUCUUGGUAAUGAUCGGGCAUGUAAAAUUAUUGGCAUGGGUGACAUUGUCAUAAAGCAAACAAAUGGUCAAAAGCAUACAUUGACAAAUGUGCGUCAUGUUCCGGAGAUCACAAAGAACUUAAUAUCGGCGGGACAAUUGGAUGAUUCCGGUUUUGUUAUCACUUUCGGAAAGGGCUCUUGGAAGAUAUCAAGGGGUAGUAUGACUAUUUUGAAAGGGCAAAAGGAUGGAAGUCUCUAUACACUUCAUGGAACCGCUCAAAAGGGUGAUGAUUCAAAUUUGAUGGUUACUACCGCAAGCAAAGGCGAAAAUAUGCAAGUUUGGCAUAAUCGGCUUGGUCAUCUAAGUGAGCAUGGUAUGAAGGUAUUACAAGAACAUAAACUUAUUCCUUCCUUUGAGCAUUCAUUUCUUGAUUUUUGUGAACAUUGCAUUAUGGGAAAACAACAUAGAGUUAAGUUUAAAAGAAAUGAGAUGCAUAGAAAGGGCAAGCAAUUGGAAUUGGUUUAUUCCGAUGUUUGCGGUCCUUUCAAUAUUAAGUCUCUUGGAGGUGCAUACUACUUUGUUACUUUCUUAGAUGAUUAUUCUAGAAAGUGUUGGAUUUAUCCUUUGGCUUCAAAAGAUCAAGUUUUUGAAACUUUUAAGAAAUUUAAAGCCCGUGUUGAAAAGGAAAGUGAUCAUUUUAUUAAGUGCUUGCAAACCGACAAUGGUAGUGAAUUUUGCUCUAGUGCCUUUGAUGAUUUUUGUUUUGAGAAUGGCAUCAAAAGAGUGAAGACGGUUCCCUACACACUACAACAAAAUGGGAUCAUUGAAAGAAUGAACCGAACAAUUGUGGAACGGAUUCGAAGUAUGUUGUCGCACUCCGGCCUACCAAAGUCCUUUUGGGCCGAAGCGGCAAAUACGGCCGUUUACUUGAUUAAUAGAUCACCUAGUGUUGCAUUAGAUGGAGACAUUCCGGAAAUUAUAUGGAGUGGCAAAGACAUUUCCUAUGGGCACUUAAGAAUAUUUGGGUGUGAAGCUUAUGUUCAUAUUCCGAAGGAAAAUAAAACAAAGCUUGAUGUGAAAUCAAAGAAAUGUGUAUUUUUUGGCUAUGGAGGUGAUGAGUUGGGCUAUAGACUUUAGAAUCCCGUUAUUAGAAAAACUAUUCGGAGCCGGGAUGUUGUGUUUAGAGAGGAUGUAAUGUUUAAAGAAGGCACGGAAGAAGAGCAAAAGAAAGAUAAACUUGUUGUUGAUGUACAAAUUGAUGGUUCUUCUCAAGAUAUACAUGAAGUUCAUUCUCCACUUCAUGAUAGUGAUGUUGGUCAUGAUGAUAAUGUUGAUCAUGAAGAAAGUACACAAUCUAGUGAAAGUCGGCAUGAUUCUCAUGAGAGUGAGAACGAUAUGUCUACCCCGCCGGCACAUGAUUUGAGAACAUCAACUAGGCUACAUAAACCCACCCAAAGGUAUUCUCCUUCUUUAUGCUUUAUUUACUGAUUCGGGUGAGCCCGAGUGUUUUCAGGAAGCAAAAGAUUGUCCCAAAAAAGCAAAGUGGCAAAGGGCAAUGGAGGAUAAGAUGGAUUCCUUACAUCAAAACCAUACUUGGGAGUUGGUGGAGCUUCCGGUCGGAAAGAAAGCAUUGAAAAAUCGAUGGGUUUAUGUGAUAAAAAAUGAAGCCGAUGGAUCCAAGAGAUAUAAGGCAAUGCUUGUUGUUAAAGGCUAUGGACAAAAGCAAGGUAUUGACUUCAAUGAAAUAUUUGCUCCCGUUGUUAAGCAUUGCUCAAUUAGAGUUGUUUUAUCCUUGGUUGCUAAUUUGGAUCUUGAGCUUGAGCAAUUUGAUAUUAAAACCGCUUUCUUGCAUGGUGAUUUGGAUGAAGAAAUUUAUAUGUUUCAACCCAAAGGCUUUGUAGAAGCUAAUCCUAAUUUAGUAUGUAAACUAAAGAAAGGAUUGUAUGGUUUAAAGCAACCAUCUAGACAAUGGUAUAAGAAGUUUGAUUCUUUCAUGCAAGAUGAAGGCUACAAAAGAUGUGAUUUUGAUCAUUGUGUUUAUUUUAGAAGCUCAACAUAUGAUUCUUUUACUAUUUUGUUACUAUAUGUGGAUGACAUGUUGAUUGCCAGUAAUGAUUAAAAUGAUAUUACAAAGUUGAAACUUGAUAUGUCAAAGAAGUUUGCUACUAAGGAUCUUGGUGAAGCAAAGAAAAUUUUGGGCAUGCAAAUUAAAAGGGAUAGGGAGCAUGGCAAGUUGUGGCUUAGUCAAUCGGGCUAUAUCUCUAAAGUUCUUGAAAGGUUUGAGAUGAAUGAUUGUAAGCCGGUUUCUACUCCAUUAGCCGGACAUUUCAAGUUAUCCAAGAAGAACUCUCCAAAGAAUGAGGUCGAAAGAGAUAAAACGAAGAAUGUUCCUUAUAAUUCCGCCGUUGGAAGUUUGAUGUAUGCUAUGGUUUGUACAAGAUCGGAUAUAGCUUACGCGGUUGGAGUUGUUUCAAGAUAUAUGUCUAAUCCGGGAUGGGAGCAUUGGCAAGCCAUUAAAUGGAUUCUUCGAUAUUUGAAGGGCACACAAAAUAUUUGUUUGUGUUUUGGUGGAACUUCUUUGGAGGUGAAUGGAUAUGUUGAUUCCGAUCAUGCCGGUUGUAGAGAGACAAGAAAGUCCACUACGGGAUAUGUUUUUACAUUUGGAGGUAGUGCGGUUAGUUGGAUGUCUAGGUUUCAAGACAUUGUUGCUUUGUCCUCUACGCAAGUCGAAUAUGUUGCCUUGACCGAGGCGGCGAAGGAAAUGAUUUGGUUAAAGCGAUUGCUUGCACAAUUUGGAGUGAAGCAAAAUAAAUAUGUUGUGCAUUGUGAUAAUCAAAGUGCAAUUCAUCUUGCAAAGAAUGCGGCGUAUCACUCCCGAAAUAAGCAUAUCGAUGUUCGCUUUCAUUUUAUUCGGAUGGCAUUAGAUCGUCAACACUUGAAUGUGGAGAAGAUCGAUACAAAGAAAAACCUUGCGGAUAUGUUGACAAAGGUUGUUCCUACGGAAAAACUCAUAUUUUGUAGGAAGCACUCCGGAUUGAUCGAGAUGUAGAUGGAGUGGUUGGAGAACAAUGCAUUGUGAUGAAGCUCAUUUGAUGGAUGGAGAUUACUUAUUUGAAGGAUGGAGAUUUGCCUUCAAGUGAGAGAUUGUUGAGCUAAUUAUAUUGGACCUAUUUCUUAUUUGGGCCUUGCUAUUUGGGCUAUGUAAUUUGGUGAAGUCAAAAUCUCCUCUUUCUAUAUUUUCUUAUCAUGUAUGUGGGCCCAUAUUUGUAAGCUUUUGGAUCAUGAUUCUUUUGAUCCAAAAGCCCAUAUUGUUAGCCUCUUCUCUUAGGGAGCUAAAGUGGGAUAUUAGAAAAGAGAGAAAAAAUAGAGAGAAGUAGAGAGUGAGAAAAAAAGUGGGAGAAAGAGAGAAACCCUAGAGUUGGUUUUGAUCUUGGUUCUAUCAAAAAGGAGAUGAGAUCUUCCUUGUGAGGUGUGGUUUACACCAUUUGGAUAGAGUUAGAGAUUGUUGGAGCUCUCUUUUAUAUCUUGGAGUUAAGGUGAUAUUUCUCCCAUUUGAAUCUCUCUUGUAAUCUCCAAAUUUAUAUCGGAAGCUUCUUUUACAUUGUUCUCCCGUGGAUGUAGGCAUAGCUGAACCACGUAAAUCCUUGUGUUCUUGUGAUUUGGUUUAUUUUGUUAUUGCUCUUGUGCUUGGCUUUUCAUUUGAUGCUUAUAGAAAGUGGGUUGUGAAAUUGCCCACCAAGUGUUUGUGAAAUUGCCACCAAUAUUUUUCACCCUCAUUUGACAACAGUAUCAAUACUAAUGAAAAUUCACUUCAAUUAAUAGAACUUGAUGAUGAUUUAUUCAAUAAAUUUAUUUAUUUUGUUAGGUUGUCACUAUCUACUAAAAUUGAUAGUUCUGAGACAAAAAUUACAUUCAUCCCUUGAUUUUAUUCUCUAAAAGUUUCUAACUUCUUUUAUAUAUAUAUAUACUUAACAUUAAGUAUUAAUUAGUCUACUGCUAAAAGUCGUCAACUCUAAUAAAAGAUUCAUUUGCCUCUUGAAAUAUACUUUUAAAGUUUUAAGUGAUGAAAUUUAUUUUUCUAAAGUUUUAAUUUCUUUAAAUUUGCCGCUCAUUUUAAUUCAGGGUUUGGCUGAGAAUGAAGUUAACCCAUGAGUAGCUCGAGAUCCACUGACGUUAUGGCAUCCAUAAAUAAGGAAGAAAUAGAAGUAAAUUUUCUCUCAAACUUUUCUAGAAAUAAAUUUAAGGGAAAACUAUAAAUACCCCUUAUGUGGUUUCGGACUUUCUCACUUUAAUACCCUGUGGUUUAAAGUGUAUUAAGUUAGUACCAUAUGGUUUCGCACUUUCUUACUUUCGUAUCCUGUGGUUUAAUAUUUUGUUAAAUUAUAUACAAAAACUUCAAAUAUCCUACCUACAUUUAUCGAAUAUUUAUUUUAGUAUCCUUUAGUUUUAACUUUGUCACUGAUUUAACGAAAAAAAUAUUCCGAAAUGGAUAAUAAAAAGAGAAAAAUAAAACCAAAAGAUAUUAACUUGAUACAAAAAUAAAAUCACAGAGUACAAACUUGAUACACUUUAAACCACAGGGUACUAAAGUGAGAAAGUGCGAAAACACAAGAUACUAACUUGAUACACGUUAAACCAUAGGGUACUAAAGUGAAAAAGUGCGAAACCACACGAGGGGUAUUUGAAGUUUUUCCUAAAUUUAAAAAUCGAAUAAUUUAAAGGGUUUUUUUUAUUAUUUAUGUUUGAUAAUUAUUUGAAGUGGCGUGAGGUCGGAUUGGGCCGAGUCAUAAUCGAGACCCGUAUUUCUAACCUUCAGUGUUUUUGAGAUUUAUGGUUCCAACCAGUGACCACUUAGGAGUAGUGCCUCAUUUGGUUGUGUUCAUUUUAUAAAUAAAAAAUUUAUAUGGCUGAAUGUAUGUAUUAGCCAUAGACGGUCUUAUCCUGCUUUUGUUGGUUAGCUUGUAAUGCAAAUCGUUUGAAUAUUAAAAACAUAUUUUUUUCAAAAAAGAGUGAAAAGAAAUUUCCAUCACAUUUCUAUUUUUCAUGCCAAACUAAGCCGUUAGAUGUAUAGCUAUAAGCACUACACCAACAACUGACCGAUUAUAGAAUAAGUGGCAAAGAAUUUGAUGGUUGGUAUCAGAGAUCUCAAGUUUGAACCCUAGUUGAUUCAUAUUUUCAGUUAAGUUUAUUUUUAAAUAAAAUAAACGAAGAGGGAUUUAGUAUCCCGUGGUUUUAUUUUUCUUUUUUUUAUUAUUCCUUCCAUUAUUAUUUUUUUUUGUUAAAUCAGUGACAAAGUUAAAACUAAAAGAUACUAAAGUGAAUAUUCAAUAAAUUUAGGUGAAAUAUCUGAAGCUAUUUAUAUAUAAUUAAACGAAAUGUUAGCGGAGGAGCUAACAAAAAGAAAAAAAUAAAAUCAUAGGGUACUCAAUUGAUACACUUUAAAUAAUACGGUACUAAAGUAAAAAAGUGUAAAAUCACAGAAAUGAUAUUUAAAGUUUACCAAAAAAAAUGCUUGCGAAUUCUACUACACAGAAAUUAUAUUUAAACAAAAAAAAAAAAGAAUAACGAAUAUGCCAAAUGUUAAUUUUAUUGCAAAAGUAAAAUAUCAUUUAUCGUAACUGUCCACAUACAAUCGUUGAGUGCACAAUCUCCAUUUAGAUUUUUUUUCUUUUUUUAGUAAAAAUAUACAUAAUUUAUCUGAAUUAUAAAUUAUUUUGAGUUGAUUAUUUAACUUUUAUAACCUUUUUUUUACUAUCCAAUUUUUCAAUUUAUUUAAUUUUAGUCAGAUAGUAAUUCUUUAUCUUUAAAAUUUGAAUACAUUAUUUAUCUUUAUAAAUUAUUAGCUAUUCCCGUUACUAUAAUUUGUUAAUGAAAGAAAAUAACUUAAAUUUUAAAAUUAAAGUGCCGUUGACCGACUUAAAUCAAACUAUUUGAAAUAUUGAAUUAUAAAAUUAAAUUUUUGAAAGAACAGAUAGCAAACUCAAAAUAACUUAUAUUUCAAGUAAGUUUCGUUCUGUUUUGUUUUUUUAUUUUUUUUAUUUAUUUAAAUACAUGUACAAACAUUUAGAUACCGCGGUAGACCUUUGCCAUGGAGGAAGACUUAUGUAGCAGUUGCACCACGUCAUUUAUGUUCCAGAUAAGAAUAAUAAGGUGCGAGAGUUAUAUAUUAGACUUUCUUCUAGCCGUUUAGGCAUUCCUAUUGGUAUUCGGAUCUACACUAUGGGAAAUAAAAUUUCACGGUGAACUCCACAAUGAUGCUUAGUUGGGAAAUCUUCGAUAUAUUAUCACAUGCCAGUUUUUUCUUCAUUAAAAAUUUAUUAGAUAUUUUAUAAUGCUAAAUUAAAAAAAGAAAAUUUUUAAGGAAAGAUUUAUAAUCUUUUAAUUGAGACAAAACCGAUACAAAAAAUGACAGUGCAUCGAUCGGAGCUCCUUGGUGAGGCUUUGCAUCCCCGCUGAAGUUUUUUUUUUAGAGAGAUAAGUAACACGCUAUUUACUUCGUUUAGUUCAUUUAGAAAUAAAUUUAGCUAAAAAUAUAAAUCAAUUAGCAUUCGAAUUUGGGACCUGACAACUACCAACCAACCGAAGGUUGGUGUGUGUAUAUAUUACUUCAAAAUUAUUCACAAAAUUAAAGAAUUUUCUCUACACGGGGCACAAAUUUUCCUAAUCAAUCUUUGCAUCACCAUUGAAAGAUCUAUGUCUACUGUGGUUCUGUCUGUACCAACAAGAGAAUCAAUUUUCAGCAGUGCUUUCCAAAGAAUUUUUGUCCCAACUACACCUUUGAGCAUCCGAACCCCAAAACACCAAGAAAAAAUAACAGAAAGAGACGAGAAUUGUCGGGUGUACGAAAAUAAGCAAUUAGGGCAUUUUUGGUUGGGUGAAAGUUGGGUGGAAGUUGAGAGUAGAAAAGUCGUUUUUGUCACAAAUGAUCACUUCUGUUGUUUGAUUCAUCAUAAAAAAUUACGGUCGAAAUUCGAGUUAACCUGAAGCGGCAUAAUUGAUUUCGGCACAUCGUGGGCCGAAGUCAAUUACGGUGAAGAAAAAUGAAAAAAAUAAUAAAACAAUAUACUAGGUAAAGAUAGUUAUAUUUAAAUAUAUUUAAUUAUGGUACUAAUUAUUUUCUUAUUCAGUUGGCACAUUUAAUAUUUUAUUUAUUUAGUUUGUAUAAUUAAAAUAUGAUAAAAAUUGAUUAAUUAAGUAUUAAUAUUUUUUUACUUUAUAAUUUUAUUGCUGUGUUACUAUAAUUUAUGCAUAAAAGAAUAAUUUAGUUGUUUUAAAUUAAAUUUUAACUAUAUACAAAUAUAAUUAUAUUAUUUUUAUUUAUUAAAAUAUUUAUUAUUUAUAUAUAAAUUAUAAUUUUAUAUUAUACAUUUUUAUCAAACAAACAGCAAAACAAAUAAAACUUUACUUCCAUAAUGCGAAACAAAUAGCGGAAAAGAAGUAGUUUUUACCAAACUCCACUUUAAUCCAAAGUCCAAUUUCGAUAAUGAAACAAAUAUGCCCUUAUUGAUACCUCUGCUCACUCGAGCCCGGCCUUGUUCUCUCAACAAUCUUAACCUCUUCCAAGAAGCUCUUGCUACACAAAGGAGAAAACUUUUUGCCACUUAAUAAUUUUAUUUUAGACUAAAAUGUACUUUGUUCUUUUCAAUAUAUUAUGAUGUUUAAUGCACUUAUUUUUUCUAAAAACUUAUGUUGUGAGCAUUUAACAUUUCGAAGAUAAAAAUAUGUACUUCACUCUCCUGGGUAGAAAAAACAGUAAUAAAAUAAAAACAAAUUUAGUUACUAUUAUUUACUAAAAUAUUUUUGAUCUUUUAAGAGAGAUUAAGUACAUACGUUUUAUAUUAGCCUUUAUUUUAUUUUAAACAUGAAAGAGUGGCUAAAGUAGGUCCUUCAGAGUAGUAAUAGCUGCUGCUUGCUUUUCCUGCAGUAGCAAAAGACAACAUUAUUCUGAGGAUUGAUUGAUACUGCAUAUAUGUAAACACUAGCUACGAACCCGCGCGAUGCAGCGGGUGAUAAUAUUUUAGUUAUUUUUUAAAAUAUUUAUUUUUUUAAGCACGUAUAAUUUUAUGAAUAUAUAUAAAUAUAUAGUAAUAUAUGAAAUAGAAAAUAUACUUUCACAAAUCAGAUAUAAUAUCUCACACUAACUUUACAUGAAGUACAUUUAUUUCAUAAAUUUUCUAAUAUUAAAUAAAAUUAAAAUUAUAAAAAGUAUUGCCUAAUUAAAAUAAUAAGAGAAUACAAAAUAGCGCACUGCCAAAAAAUAAAAGAUUCACAACAACUUCCUAUUUAUAAAAAAUAAAUCAACUAGAUAUAUUACUAUUUUUUUAUAUUGUAUUUAUAAAAUUUAUUAAAAAAUAAAUUUUUUUGUUCAUAGAAAAAUUCUUAGAAGUGGAAUAGGCCAAAAAAGAAAGAGAAAAAAAAAGAGGUAAUGAGAGAGAGAGAGAGAGAGAGAGAGGAGUGGAGAAAGUGGGUGGGCCAACAAAUGCUCCAAGCAAGACGAGCUGUAAACUAAACUUUAUUUAUGUUAAAGUUAAAGUUAAAUUGAAUAAUAUAUAAGGAUGUCUUAUAUACAGAGUGUAUAAUUUUUUUUACACUAUAUUUAUAAAGUUUUAUUAUACAGGUACAAAUCUAUUAAUUUUUGUGUCUAAAUUUUUUAUAUAUUAUAAAUUAUACUUAUCAGAUAAAUUUUAAUUUUAGUAUAUUAAUUAUUAAACAAUAGGUUUAGUUUAUGUGAUGAAUUUGUAGACUUAGAAAGGAUGUUGGGAAAGAGAGAGAGAGGGGAAUAAAAAAGUGGGCCCACCUAUUUCCCCAAAUGAAAGAGAGCUCCACCGUACCGUUUUUAGGUUUUUCUUUAACGUAAUUGUAUAGAUGUAUAGAUAUAGAUAGAUAUAUAGAUAGGAGUAGAUUAGGUGACGUAUUUGUGUAGAUGUAUAAAUAGGAGUAAAUUAGUUUGGCUUAGGUGAACAACGCACUCACCAACCUGCACCGUGAAAGUAUCUUCCAAAUUUAUGCAUCUAAUUUUGAAUAAAUUCUUGCUAAAUUAUAUUUUUAGUACUCAAACUUUUGGUCAAGUUUUAUUUCUGCCCUCUAAUUUUUGAGUUCAAUAUUUAAGAUCUUGAACUUUUAAAAUUGUUUCACUUUAGUACCUGUCCUUAUUUAUUACUAGAAAAAGUGUACCUACAUUCAGUCCAUGGCGAUACUCGUUUGCUAUUCACCAUCAAUCCUUAAUCUAAAUCUGAUAUUUUAAAUCCAUUGCCUAUUGAGUUCCAACAUUUUCUAUAUUUGAAAAUCAAGGCACUAUAUUAAAAGCAUAACAUGAAAAGAAAUCGAAUUACUUCAAAAAGCGCUGACAAGUAUAAUAAGUGUGUAACAAUUUCUUUUUCUGAAGGACUAAAGUGAAAUAAUUUUAAAAAUUGAGGAAUCUAAAUAUCAAACUUUAUGUCUCUGUGUAUAUAUAUAUAUAUAGAGUUUAGUAAUUCCUCUAGAAUAGUAGUAUUAAUCCAAGGAUUUGAAACGAUCAAAGGAUUAAAAUAUUAGAAGCACCACAUGAGUGAUGCUUCUGAAGUGCAUAAUCGGAAUAUAUAUAUAUAUAUAUAUAUAUAUAGAGAGAGAGAGAGAGAGAGAGAGAGAGAGAGAGAGAGAGAGAGAGAACUAGGCUAAUAUACUAUUAAUAGCACCAAGUCACUAGUGCUACCAAGUUUUUGGCCAUGGGAUUAAGAGAUGUGCGGUUUGGAUGAUGUGGGCCCCCUAGGAUUGAGUGGGUGGUUGGUUGAAUAGUAUAAUCUAACGGUUGAAAAUAAUCAAAAUGGUAGAUCUAACGGCAGAAAACUUGGUAGCACCAAGUGCUUCGUGCUAUUAAUAGCAUAGUAGCCGGACUAUAUAUAUAUAUAUAUAUUGGAAUACUAUCAAUAGCACCAAGCUAUUGGUGCUAUUAGGUUUUCGGCCCUUAUAUGAAAAAAUGUACGGUUAGGAUGAUGUGGGCCUCCUAGUAUUAAGUGAGUUAUUGGUUGGAUAGUAUAAUCUAACGGGUGAAAAUAGUCAAAAUAUUAAAUCUAACGGCGAAAACCUUGGUAGCACUAAAAACUUGGUGCUAUCGAUAGUAUCCAGCCGAACUCAUAUAUAGAAUUAGGCUGAAAUACUAUUAAUAGCACUAAAGAUUUGGUACUAUUAAGUUUUCUGCCCUUGAAUUAAAAGAUGUGCGGUUAGGAUGAUAUAGGCCCCUAAGGUUGAGUAGGUGAUUAGUUUAAUAGUAUAAUCGAACAUAUGAAAAUGAUAAAAGAGGUAAAUCUAACGGUAGAAAACUUGAUAACACCAAAUGUUUCGUGCUAUCGAUAGUAUCCCAGCCGGACUCCUCAUAUAUAUAUAUAUAUAUAUAUAUAUAGUCCUAUUAUUAUACUAUCGGUAACACGGAAGCUAAAUCUUAUAAAAAAUAAUAAUAAAAUAUUUGAAUUUAAGAUUAGAAGUACUAAUCUUACCUAAAUAGUAAAGAGAACUUUCUAGAAAAUUUCAUCAAAUUUAGAUUAUUUUACACCAUUAAAUUUACAACCACAUUAUAUUUGCUAUUAAAAUUACUAAUUUUGAGAUCUUUUGAUCACUAGUCAAAUAAUGUCGAAAAAUAUGAAUUUUAGUUUCUAAAUAUUUUCAAUAGUUUAGAUCAUGCCUGAUAAUAUUCUAGCUCAAAGUGUAAAUCUAAUGGUUAAAAAUUGGAUAACACUGUACCACCGUUUGGUUCGGGGUUAAGUAAAACUUGUUAUUCCAGAGAUAGAGUUAAGUUCAGGGUUAAGGUGGGGUUAGAGUAAUUUUAUGUUUGGUUGAGAAUUGGGUUUAGUCCAGAUAUAGAUAAAAUAGUGUUUAGUUGGAGUAGGUGGGAUAAGAAGGAUAGUGGGUAAAAUAAUGUUUUGUUUGGUUGGAGUAGUUGGAUAGUGUGGGGUUAGCUAACCCACCCUCCCAAAUUGGGUGUUAUUCCAUCCCUUAACCCCGAACCAAACAGGUGCUAAGUGAUUAAUACUAUUAAUAGUACCCUAGAUGGGCUAAUAUAUAUAGGGUUAGACUAGAAUAUUGUUUUUAUAGUAUCUGACUAUGAAUAUUGUCCAGUUUUUAACCCUUAAACGAAAAAUUAUAGUAUUAGAAUAAUAGUUGUUAAGAGUUUAGUAGUGGUGCCCCUUAGGUUUAGUAGGCGGUUGAUAGAAUAGUAUAAUCUAAAGAACGUAAUUGAUCAAAAUAUAGAUCUAAUGAUUAAAAACUAGAUAGCACCAAAUAAUCGUUAGUAUUAAUAGUAUCCCAAACAAACUCUAUUUAUAGAGAGAGAGCUUACCUUAACUUUUUCCUAUUUUAACAUUUAAAAAUUUUUAUUUUGCUACCUCAUUUUUUAAUUUCCUAGAUUUGCAACGGGUAAUGAUUCUUUCACUUUAAAAUUAAAUACAUUACUGAUUUUUAUAGAUUUAAUUAGUAUAUUUUAUAUAAUUUAUAUAACAAUAAAUUUAUUUAUUUAAGCAAUUAGUUAAAUUUUAUAUUAGAAGAACUAUCAAAUUACUUAAAUAGAAUAAAUUAAAAACUUAAGUACUAAAACUAAAAUUUUGAAAAAUUAGUUGGAUGGUCGGACCAAAAUGGUCUAUAGUUCAAAUAAGUUUUAUAUAUUUUUAUGAAAAAUACGAUCUGUGCAUUCCUAAGGAGGUGCAGGAUGUAUACCACAUUCAUUCAAGAGUGGAAUGUACUCUACUAGUUACAUCGAUAUGAUUAGUACUAAAGUCUCCACUCUUAGAUAGAUGAAGUAUAUAUCCUAUACUUCUCUAGGGAUGUACAACUAGCAUUGCGCUAUUAAUUUUUGACUACUUAAAAAAAAAAAAUUAGGGACUAGAAAAGGUUAGGGACUAGUAAUGCAAUUUAUAUGAUAAAUCUAUAACUAAUUUGAUCGUAAUUUUAAUUCGGGUACAGAUACACUGUAAAUAGGAUGAAAUAACCAACUCUGUUGAAUUCACAUGAUUUAGAUUUAGUUUGAAAUUAAGCUUUCGAAAGCACUCGUUUUUAAGCUUUACAUUAAUUAAAGAAGGAAAACUUUAAAGAACAUUUUUGUAAAAAUUUUUUAGCCAUCGAAAUAUUAAAAUAAGAAUUUCUAGUACAGCUUGUUAGCAUGCGAUUCGGUUGACUUGAGCCGAAUUCCUACUAAAGAAGUACCUGCCGUGGAAUGAUCGUUCCUGUUCGGGGGCUGGUUUGAAGCGGGCGGCCGCACUCAUCGUACAGUAUGAGGCCGCUGAACCGCGGCAGCUCGCACCUCUCCCCCAUCAAUAUCUUGCGCUGCCACAGCGGCAGAGCAGCCGCCGCCGCCGCCGCCGCCGCCCCUCGGUAUCCGUCCCACGCGCCUUCGUCGACCGUCAGCUCCCAUCUCGCGCCCUCUUCCGACGCUUCGCAGCCGACGGGCUUCGGCCUCGAAGUACGCGCGGAACAGACGAAGAUUCUCUUGAUCAUGCACCAGCCGGCCGACGCGAUCCGCUGCACUUCCGACGCCUUACGCAGCGUCGACUCGUUCUCAUUCGAAUCUGCUGCUGCUGCUGCUGCAUCCGCCGCCGCGGCGUGUUUUUUGGCGCUGAACCGCUUGUUGCGUCGUGCGAACGUCGUGGACACGCACAUGCCCGCGACGGCUGCCGCGACGAGCAGGAAGAGAAGCAGCACUGCUGCAUAUGCUGCGAGCGGUGAUGAUGCAGGCUGCAAUAUCCCGUAGGGUUCUUGUAGGUGUAGGGUGAGAGGGUCUUUGACAGCUCUCAUGUUCCCGAUCGAGCAUGCAAAUGGAUCGGCUCUGGCCUGUGGAUCUCGGCUUUUCUUUCUCUCUUGCUCCACCAGACCAAAUGACAGCGAUUAAAUGGGCUAAGAGCUCUAGUGCUCUUUUAUUGUUUGGAUAGUGUACUGCUUACUUUCUAUAUUUUUUUUUCAAAAAAUAUGUUUAUAUAAAAAUACAAAGCUAAAUUACAGACAAUAAAUUUUUACAUAAAUAUCUAUUUUUUUAAUUUUUUUUUAUGGUUUUUAAAAACUUAUCGUUUGCACCCCUCUAAGAUUUUAGAAAUAUUUCAAGAGAAGUACGACGUUAAUGGAGAGAAAAGAAAAUGACCAAUCUGCCUUUACUUCUUUUAUAAGAAAAAAAUAUUUUUUUAAUACAUUUAUGUUAUUUUGAAGAAAUUUUUUUAGUAUAAAUUAUACAAAAUAAAAAGAAUAGUGAUAGAACUCUAACGGAGAGGGCUGAUUGCAAUAACUUAAAAUGUUGAGAUGGUAAAAUAUAAAUUUUUGAAAGUUAGAAGAAAAAAAUAAAAAAAUAGAUAUUUAUAAGAAAAUUUUUUAUAAUUUAGCCAAAAUACAAAGCAGUAGAAAUAAUUUUAAUAUAUUUAUUCAAGGUGAAUUAUGUACAAGAACUGAAAGAAAAAAUAGAUUCACAAAUUUAAUAUAAAAAAAAUAAAUUCAAGGUCUCUUUAAACAAGAAAAAGAUUUUCAUACUGGUAUCAGAUUUUCUUAAAGAAACAUAAACGACUUAUGAACCGUCUUAACACUAAUAGUUUUAGAUAAUUUUUUUUUCAACUAAAUUAGAAGUUUUAUUUAAUAAAUCUUCAAAAUUUUACUUCUGUUUGCAAACUAAUGAGCAAUUAUUAAAAAAAAAUUAAUUUCAUACAGAUCCCUGCAAACAUAAUGAAUUACAAAUAUAUCCCUACAGAAUUCACUUUUUAUAUAUUGUUCUUGCAAAAGUUCUGAUAUUUUUAAAUAUAUCCAUACCGUUAGAAUCCGUUAAAAAAAGCUUAGUUAACUAUUAUUAAAAUACUUAACUCUAAUUAGUUAAUGAAGUGAAUAGACCUUUUUAUUUCUUUUCAAUUAACGGUUGAAAUUUUUCAAGAAACAUAUUUAUGAUGACAAAGAAAUUAAUUUAUUUAUAAAAUAAAUAGUGAUUUAACGGUAACAAAUAAGAAGGACAUAUUUGAAAAUAUUAAAAUUUUUACAAAAAUAAUAUAUAAAAAUAUAUUUAUAAUUUAUUAUAUAUUUAUAGAAAUAUGUAUAAAAUUAAUCCUAUUUAAAAUUGCUAUAGCUGAAAGGCGAGUAGACGCGUGACCAAGUAAGCCCCGAGUCUAUAGAGAGGUGUGUCGGUGCUAUCUUUUGCAGUAGCUGCUUUGGAAGCAAUGUUAGAGAGUGAGCAUCGGGCAUUCCUUCGUUCGCAGGAUUCUCGUGAGGAAUACUGCAGCUCACCGAACGUUGGGCUUCGGACCGCUGCAUCCGUCACAUCACUUUCACGUAAAAGAGUUAAAAAUUUAUAAGGACCUAACUCCCUGUUUCUGCUUACAAAGUUAGGAAAAACUUCAAAUACCUCCCAUGUGGUUUCAUUUUUUCUUAUUUUAGUAUCUCGUGGUUUAAAAUGUAUCAAGUUAGUACUCUGUGGUUUCGCACUUUCUCACUUUAAUAUCCUACGGUUUAAAAACAACAAGGUACUAACUUGAUACAAAAAUAAAACCACAGGGUACUAACUUGAUACGAAAAUAAACCACAGAGUACUAACUUGAUACACUUUAAACUACAGGGCACUAAAGUGAGAAAGUGCGAAACUAUAGGGUACUAACUUAAUAUACUUUAAACUAUAGGGUACUAAAAUAAAAAAGUACGAAACGACAGGGAGGGUUUUUGAAGUUUUCCCCUCUACAAACGCUUCUGAUCCUCAUUUGAUUCGAAAGUUAUUCCCGCUGUUCAAUCAAACAUAAACCUUUUUAGUCGAAAUGUUUUUCUUUCGAUAAAAUUUUGCUAUUCUUGUCAGACUUUCAGAUUGUCCUAUAUAUAAAAUAUAGGGUUAAUUUCAUCCGUACCCCUCUAAAGUUUCAAAAUAUUAUAAAUAUCCCUACAAAUUUUGUUAUAUCAUAUUUACCCCUCCAAAUGCAUACUUUCUUUCAAAAAUGACGUUCCUGUUAUACUCCGCCUAUUCAAGUUAUUUUGACUCUGGUUAGAUGAUGGUUUACCAAAGGUUAAAAUUUGAAAUACCUAUUUUGCCCAUGAGUUAGGAGGUUUUGGAGGGUAUACCUUAAUAAAGAGAGUUGAUGUAUUAAUUAGAUACUAAUGUAGGCCCGCGCUUCAUGGCAGAAAAUUUAUGUAAUCUAUUUAAAAUUUAAAAUUUCUAACUCCCUUAUUUUUUAAUCCUGAAAUUUGAAAUUUAAAAUUUAGAAAUUUAAAUUUUAAAAAAUAUAUUUUAUCUUAAUUCAGUUUGUACAUUUUGAAUAUAUGAUUUUAUAUAGAAUUUUAUUGAAUCUUAAUUUUUCUAAAUUCUAAACUUUUAUAUGCAUUGAAUAACUUUGUAAUUUUGAAUUUUUAUUAUGAAUUCCCAAUUCAAAAUUAAGGUAGAAAAUUCAGAGUUCAGCUAGAUAAUACGGAAUUCAGCUAGGUAAUUCGAAAUUCUAUGAUAUUUUGAACAUUAUUUUUUUGAGAAAAAGGUAGCGCGCUACCCGCUUCAUUCAUUCAGUAAGUGAAUUAAGCUACAUGGGUGAGGCAGCAAGGCCUCGACGAAAGGCGGAAAAAAAAAAAAAAAACGGUCACUCUACUGGACUAAGUUUCCUCCACAGGUCUGUCAACUGCUUAAUCUUAUAAAUACCGACUGAUGGAUCGCUCUGUGUCGUUCCGAAGAUCGCUUUAUUCCUAGAUUCCCAAGAGACCCACCAGCAGGCUAUAAUUCCUAUCAGACCGGUUGCGGUCGGAUGUGUUCUCGUUCUUCCUACCCAUCUAUCCCAGACUUGACGCACUUCCUCGCCUAGAUCUCCUAACUGGACAUCCUCCUGGGUCGUUACCAUAAGAAAUCUGGUAAUUAUGCACUGUGUGAAUAAGUGGUCGACCGUUUCCUCUUCCAAUCCGCAGAGCAUGCAUUUCGUGUUGCCGGUCCAUCCCCUCUUUACCAAAUUGUCAGCUGUAAGCAACCUCUUCUUAAGCAGAAGCCAACAAAACACUUUCACUUUUAGGGGUAGGCGUAGUGACCAAAUCCUACUCGUACGUGCAUCCCUCGUGCCUCCGUCACGCAGAGCUGAAUAAGCUGACUUCACCGUAAAACGUCCAUCAGUGCUCCAACGCCAGUGUACACUGUCUUGUCCCUGAUUAAUAGGGGCAUUGGAAAUCCUGUUCAUAAGUGCUGUAAUGCCAGGGUACGCACUAGGAUUAACAGUGAUGUCACCACUCAGAAUCGUUUCCCAGCACCAACCAUUGCUACUCAAUCCGUCACUGAUUUUCAGGUUUUUACGAGGAGAUAAAUUAAACAACUCGGGGAACGACGAACGUAGCGUUGUUUCCCCGCUCCAGCGGUCCUCCCAAAAGUUGAUAUUUCGUCCGUUACCCAGCUUAUAAAAUGCUCCCCAUUUAUAAAUAUCUUUUAGCUUUAGUACUCCCUUCCACCAGUAGGAAGGUGGCCUGAACGAUCGUCCCUCCUUCAGCGGUCUUCUUUUACGAUAGAAUAAGUCGUGAAUUAGUUUAGUCCACUGUAACUUGGGGGCGGUCUGGAAUUUCCACCACCACUUAACAAGUAGGGCUUGAUUCAUCGUACUAAUGUCGCGGAUGCCUAGUCCACCCUCCUCUUGUUCCGGCAAACACUCUGCCAUGAAACCAAACAUCUUAUUCCAGGCGUAGUUAUUUGUCCAGUCCAGAAGAAAUCUCUCCGUAUUGCCUCGAUGCGCUUGAUUACCCAAUUAGGAGUCGUGAAGACCGAGAGAUAGUAAAGGGGUAGAUUAGAGAGUACUGCGUUUACAAGGAUAAGUCUGCCCCCCCUCGAAAGCAGCUUUCCUUGCCACCCGUCGAUUUUACUUUGGAUUCUACGGAUGAUGCCCCUCUAGUCCUCCUUGGAAGGGGGUUUGAUCGACAGAGGCAAGCCAAGGUACUUGGUGGGUAGACUGCCGACUCUACAUCCGAGUAAGUGCGCCAUCCAGCUGGCCUUUCCCUGCGUCUGGCCGGUAUAGUAGAGUUCCGACUUCUCUCUAUUAAUUCUCAAUCCAGACGCCCAUUCAAAGAGUUGCCAAAUGAAUUUUAGGUUUCUCAAGCAUCUUUUCUUGGCCUUACAGAAAAAGAAGGUAUCGUCGGCAAAUUGAAUGAGGGUAGUUCUGGAUGUCUCUGUGGGGCCGAUGCCAGUAAUGAGAUUAUUACUAAUAGCCUCGUUAGUCAGUCUGGCAAGACAUUCCGCGACGAGUAUGAAAAGAUAUGGGGACUAAAGCCAACUCGAUUUGCAGCGGUAAUUGCAAAAGAACCCACACGCAUACUGAAAGUAAGGGGUAGGUCGUCAUUUUUAAUUUGAACCUUUUUGUAUGUAUCAAAUAUCUUGAGAUAGUUAAGCUGCAUUGUUGUGUAUGAUGGGGAAAAGAUGUUAUUAACAUUAGGGUCUCUCCUACAGAACAAUUUUGAGAAUUUAGAAUUCAUGUUAAGAAUUUAGAAUUUAGAUUUUGAAUUCAGAAUGCGAAUUAAUAUAAAAGGUUGGUUAUGGCAAUAGUAUUAAAAUAACAAAACAAUAGUCAAAAAAAGGUUCAUCUAAAAUAUCAAAAUUCAAGGUACUUGUCGGCAAAGAGUUUGUGUAUGAUGAGAAAAACAUGUUAUUAAUAUUAGGGCCUUUACCACAGAACAAUUUUGAGAUUAUUAGCAAGUCAUGAGAUUAUCAGCAAGAAUGACUUGUUAAGGUAGACAUGUAGCUAUUAUACUAAGCUUGAAUUUCUAAAGAUGCAAACUUGGAAUUUGAAAAAAUCCAUAAGAAAAGUUUUCGAAUGUACAAAAGAUUUCUCUUUGAUCUAACUAAAACCUUAAAUUAAACUAUGAACUAAUUUUAGGAGGGUAUUUUUGAAAGAAUGACCGUUGAGCGAAACUAAGUUCGAUGUGAAAUUUUUAAAUUUGAAGUGCUUUUAUGAAAUUUAUUAUAAGUCAGUGACCUUUGAAAAUUUUAUAAGGGCAAUUGUGAUAAGGGUAAAAUUGGUAUGUAGGUCUGUUAGUUAACAUUUUAACGAAAAAUUAUUUUAAAGGCUAUUUUUGAAAGUUUUUCAUAUAUAGAGGGGUAUUUAUGAUAUUUCAAUUUUUAGAGGGGUACUUAUGUAAAUAUCAGCUUUUGAAAGGGUACUCAGAAAAUUAUCCCUAAAAUAAAAUAAGACUAAAAUUUUUAAUCCGGCUUAAGUAUUUUAGAUAGUGGUUAGUCCCAAGAGGUUAAGAGAGUUAAGCGUGUUAGGACGAGAGUAGUCCUAGAAUGGAUGACCUUCUGAAAAGUUUGGGCGUCACAGUUAGUAUUAAAGUCAAUUACCAGUCGAAAGUAUGAAAUAAGUCUCGGCUAAGAUAGGAUCUGAAUGACAAAGCUAGCGAGACAAGUCUCACAUCGCCUGCUACUUGUGAGUCUGAGCUUGACGAGAACGUCAGGACUUAAAAAGGGGGAGAUUGGGAGAUCCCAGCUAGUUCUAUAUAUAAAGUAGAAAUAAUUGCCUAUAUACCCCUCAAAACUUAGAAAAUAUCUCAUUUACCCCAACUUUUUUUUUUCUUUCUAAUAUACCCCUCAUAUGUUCCUCCGUUAUUCCAAAAUACCCCUGCAGUUACAACCCGUUAAGUUAUCUUGGGUUAAACAUGAAUUAAAUAUCUAUCACAAUUAAAAAAAAUUAAAAUAUCAACUUUGUCCUUAACUUAAGGGCAAAUAAAAAAUAUUGGUGACAGCAGAAAGGUAUAUUUGAAAAGAUCAAAAGUCAAAAUAUUUUUUAUGCCCCUGACUUAAGGGCAAAUAAGAAAAAUCAGUAAGGGUGGAAGGGUCUAUUUGAAAGGGCAAAAUAGUAAUUUUAUACAGAUAAUAGAGUUUAUUAAUAGAUUUUAACUAUAGGAGUAUAUUUAAAAUAGGUUGGAAUAUAAGAAAGGUAUUUUCAAUAUUAACCUUUUAAGAGAGGUAAAUCAAAAAGUCAGAAACUUUUUAUUGGUAUAUAAACAAUUGCCUCUAUAAAAUAUAACAUGACUAAACUCUUAAUCAGAUUUAAAUGUUUUGUAUGGUGGUUAGGUCCAAAAGAUUAAGAGAGUUAAGCGUUUAGGACGAGAGUAGUCCUAGGAUGGAUUACACACCUUUGAUAAAAUAUUGUUAUUCCGAGAUUUAAUUUUAAAUUUUAUCAAUAUUAUAAUUAUAUAAUAUAUUAUUUUUAUUAUAAAAUUAUAAACUACACUAUAUUAAUGCGUAUUAUUUAAACUUAAAUAUCAUAUUAAACUAUUUUUAUUAAAUAUUAUAGUAAAUUAUUUCUAUAAUAAUUUUUUUAUCAAAUUAUAUUUUAUAUCAAAUUCAACCGUCAUUUUUUUCACUAUCUUUUGCUAUUUUAUAGAAUUAAUAAAAUACAAUUUUAGUUAUUUUAGGGAAUAGAAGAACUAUAAAUCAAACACAAUUUUACUUUUAUUUAGACUAUUCCGAAAUAGUAAGUUAUCAAAGCAAUAAAAAAAAAAUAUUUUAUUAUUCAUUAUCUCUGUUUGCAAAACAGAGCCUAAGUUUCAUUUGUACAUAUGAUAUAAAUUUUUUUAUUCUUAAAAUAGUUUGCUAUUUUGAAAUAAUGGAAAUAAUUUUUUUUGUUAUAAAAUUGUUAUUUUUGGAAAUAUCUAAAUUGUGUUUGAUUAAUUUAGUGAAAUAGUAAAGAUCAGUGAAAGAAGAUGAAAGUUGAAUUUUUAAAAUACUUAUUUAAUUUAUACUCACCUUUCAUCUAAAAAAUAUACUAUGUAAAAAAAUAUUGAAAUAAAAUAAUAAUAUUUUGUUUAAAUUUUACAUAAACUUAAAUUUAACCAUAUUAUAAGUUCCGAAAAAAUUUAAUUUAAUUAAAACUUACUAAGUUAAGCAAGAACUAAGAACUUAAAGUUAAGCCGAACCUACUAAACAAUUUAAUCAAAAAAAUUAACUACAAAUUCACCAGAAUUAUAACGAAGUUAUAGGUCGGAGGAAAAACUUCAAAGAAAAGAGGUUAAACUAGGAGCAUGUCUGACCUAAAUGGAGAUGGACCAGACUCACUUAAAUGGAGAUGGACUUUACAUCAAAACUUCACUGUCAACUCACUCUAUAAAUUCAUCACUUUCACAGGUCGACCUGACCCGAUCAAUCUACAACUUUGGAAACUAAAGAUCCCCGUUAAAAUCAAAAUAUUCGUCUGGUUGCUGCUCCGCAAGAGGUUGCUCACGGCCGACAGAUUGAUCAAUCGUGGGAUUCAAGCUGAACCUUGCUGCGUCUUCUGCGCGUUGUCCUUCGAAAGUUGCGACCACCUUUUCAGCAAUUGCGUCUUCGCCCGUUUUCUUCUUCUCCGACUGGCUGAGAUACCCAGCAGUGUUUCGGGAGAGGAUGUUCGAGAUCGCUGGAACUCACUAUCGCAUAUCCCCGACGCCACUUUAAGAGCUAAAGGAUUAACCAAGCUAGCGGCUACUUGGUGGGUUGUCUGGACCGAGCGGAACAGCUUUGUCUUCACUUUGAUUCUUCCUAACGUCGUUAGAGCCUUGGACAGAGCUUCAAACCUGUCUAACUCUUGGAUCUCGCUCUUGUAACCCUUCAUCUUUGUUAUUUUCACUCUCCCCUUUAGCUCCCUCUAACCUCCCAUCUCUCUUUGGCUUUGUCGUUCUAUUUCCUUUUUUUAACCCUCCCUCUGUUUUUUAUCAAGGAAGCCUAAGCUGCUUCCAUCUUGUACGCUUAGUUCAUUUCUCUUAUUGAAUGAAGCAAGUAGCGUGCUACCUUUUUCUCAAAAAAAAAAAAAAAAACUUUUUGAAAAGUAAUUUCUGCCCGUUUGGAGAAUUAUUUUUAGUUUUUGAAAAGUAAUUUUUGCCUGUUUGGAGAAUUAUUUUUAGUUAACAGUUCUAUAGUGUUUAGUUAGGUCUUGUAGAAAUGUAAGUUUUCUAAAGUGAUUUUGUAAAUCUGUUUGACACAUUUUUUGAAAUAAUAUUGUAAAAUUUUAAAUUUUAAAAGUUGGCACUGAAAUUAGUUUCUAAAAGCUAGCCAAACACUCCCUUGAAAACCUCAACUAAUUAGUUCAAUAUUCAACUGAAACAAAUCUUUGAAGCUUAAAUAACUUUGAGCAGCACACAAGUCAAUAAAAUAAUUAAUGCAAAAUAGAAGAAACUUACGAUUACAUACAAUUCAACUAUACAACAAAAGUUAUCUCAAAAUUAUAAUAUAGUUGUAGAUUUGCAAGAAAAGAUGAAGAGAAGAGACACAUUCUCAAGAACUUCAACUAAUCAAUUCAACAUUUAUCUAAGCCAAAAUUCUGAAUUUGAAAAAAAAUUGAGCUACACAUGAGUCAAAAUAACAAUAUAUAUAAAAAUAGUAGAAAGUUGCAAUUAUUUGAAAAUUAUAACAAGAACGCAGGUUGGCAAAAAAGCAGAAGAGAAUUGCAAUUAUACUUAAAAACUUUAACUAAUCAAUUCAUUAUUUAACCGAACCAAAGUUCUAAAACAAAAAAAAUUUCGAGCUGCACAUAAGUGAAAAUAACAACGCAAAAAAAAAGAAAAGAAAAGAAGAAAAACUUGUAAUUACAUUCAACUCAACCACAAACCAUACUUAUUCUAAAAUUUCAACUAAUCUAUUUAAUAUUUAAUUGAACUAAACUUCUGAAGCUGAAAUAACUUUGAGCUGCGCAUAUAACAAAGUAAGAGGUGGAAGAAACUUACAAUACAUUCAAUUCAACCCCGCAACAAAGUAAGGCGAAAACUAUUUUAUAGCUGUAUACUAGCUAGAAGAAAAGCUGAAGAUAGGAAAAAUUAUAAUUAAGAAUUUUAAUUAAUCAAGUUAACAUUACUGAACCAAAGAACCCAACAGUUGAAAGAUAUAUAUGUAUUAUGCACAUAUAUAUAAGUGCAUAUGCUAAUGUAAAUUAAAAAAUUUAAAUCAUCUCUAAUGCUACCUCCUAUCUAUUGUUCCACAAUUGCUCUAUGAUCAUGAUGCCAAUGGUUGUCACCUCUCCGAGACGCAUCUAGGCCAGCUAAAGAUGUCGGAUUGUCAUUUUGCUCGCCGACGGGGAAUGGUUCCGUUUACAUGUUGAAAUACUUGUUGGUCUUUUUAGCCCUUUGAUAAAUCGUAUAUCACAGAACAUGCGAGGCAAUACAACGUUGCACCUUGUAGGCAGGUGUUGCUUGUCAAAGCAACUCGAACUGCGCUUCUUAAGGAUCCCGAAGGCUUUCUCAAUUACAUUUCUCAAUUGAGUGUAGAUGCAAAUCUCGAGGUCCUCAAUGCCUUUGGGCAACUGCGUUAACGUUGAAUUGGCUCAAAUGAUAUUACGCCGCUUGAUAGCGAGUGAGGAAGCAGUUAGUAGUCGCAUAUCCUAAAUCAACUAAACAAAAUUUUUCUACAUGAAUACAAGGCUUUAACAAGUCUACGAUAAUGAGAGUUACAUUACAUGUUAAGUAAAAAAGCAUUAGUUGCCUUCUGAUACCGCGAAAUUGCCACUCUCACAACACCAUUUCACCACCCUUAUAUCAGCUUUAUAACCCUCUCAAUAUAACGCUAUCCUGUUUUGAGAUGUAAAUUUUUUUUGGCAAUAAUAUGUUGGCUGAUUAUUCUUUUGUACAACUAAGGGUGCAAGCCCGACACAGCUCACAUUACCCGAACCAAAACGGGCUAAGGGCCGGUCCUAUUGCAAAUGUAAGGCGGGCCAUGCCGGACCGGAUCUUCCAAGACUUUGGCCUAGCACGGGCCUCCGGCUUGGAAGGCCAAGCUCCUCUCGGCCGGCUCCUUAAUUUUUUUUUUAUUUUUAAUUUUAUUAACAAAUACAUAAAAUUUUAAAUUAUAAAAGAUCAAAAUAUUCCUAUUGAAACUAAUAUUUCGAUCAAAAUAUAAAAUUUAUAAAAAUAAUUAUAAAAUAACAAAAUUUUAAAAUUUUAAAAUAAUUUUAUAUUUUUUAACAAAAAAAUGAAUUGGUAGGGUUCCUCCAAUGGUUUGUUAAUGCAAACAUUGGGCUCAGACCCCAAGGCAACUUGCCUUCGUCCUUAGGGCCCAUACCGGGUCGCGGGCCGCUCCCUCGACCCGGCAUGGCCAAGACUCGUUACGGGGUCCGUACCGGGCCGACAGACCUAAAGGCAGCAGUCCAGCACGAUCUAGAAUAACAGGCUAAGCUGCACCAACACAGAUACUGUAGCACUCGUGCCAUGCUCUAACCCGUGGGUUGCCUGACCCGUUUGACAUCCCUACAUACAACCAUCAGUAAAUAUGUCCCACUACUGUAGUAUUUGCACUCUGAAAUUAAUCGUUAGAAAAAUAAAAUAGUUAGCAUCAAAUAUGGCUAGAAUUAUAACAUUAUGGCAGGUUGGAAGAAAAAGUGAAUUAAGAAGAGAAAUUAUACUUAAGAACUACGGCUUAUCAAUUGUCAAUAUUUACUAAAGCAAAGUUCUGAGUGUGAUAUAACUCUCCGCAGCACAAUUAACAGCAAAACAAAGUAUGACAAAAAUGAUAACAUAGCUGAAAGUUAGAAGAAAAGAUAAAAAAAAAAAAAAGAGAUACUCAACUAACCAAUUCAACAUUUUUGCUGAAUAAAGUUGUGAAGCUAAAAUAACUUUUAGUUGCAUGUUAAUCAAAGUAAAGAUACCUAAAUGAAAGAAACUUGCAAUUAUAUUCAAUUCAACCACAAACCAAAGCAAGUAAAGAAAUCAUAGCCUAAAUAUUUUUAACUUUUCUUCGAAUUGAACAAGUUCAGGAUGCAACUACUUUUAAUUCGUCAUUUCUCUCAUUCACAUUCUUAGUUGGAAAGUUAUUUUAGCGUCAGUAAAGGUUGAAGUGAUUAGUUAACUUUUUUUUUUUUUUGAGAUAUAGGUAGCACGCUACCUGCUUCAUUUAUUUCAUUUAGAAAUAAACUUAGCUGAAAAUGUGAAUCAACUAGGAUUCGAACUUGGGUCUCGGGUACCAACCAUCAAGCUCUUUUGCCAUUUGCGCUAGUGAUUAGUUAAUUUUUAUUUUCACAUAUGUACGUUCUUUUCUUUUCAACUUUUUUUUCUUACCUACAGCUAUGUAAAAAUUCUUGACAUACUUUGGUUCAUGGUAAGAUUGUAUAGUAAUUGAAAAAUAAGGCCUUAUAAGAUUGUAUGAAAAUAUGUAAGGUAACCUCAACUUCAUGUUCAGGAAGGUAAAUAAGUUAUAAAUAUAAAUAGAAGAUAUUAAAAAAUACUUCAGUUUUUAUUAAACUGUAGAAAUCGACUUAAAUUUAAAAACUUCGGCUUCUAUCACGCCAAGUGAGCUACAAAUAGCUAAAGAAAAAACCUCAGAAUUAGCUUCAGUUUUAGCAAAAUGAGAAAACAUCAAAUUGAUACAAAUACAUUUAAAUGUGCAUAUUAACUAGUAGUUAAUUUGUUACUUUAUAUAAACUAUAAAAAUAGGUUAAAAACUUUAAAUUAUAUGAAGCGAAUAAUGUCAAAAUAAUUGUUUUAAAUAAAUUUUGAUUUCUUUAGACUAUUCAAGAGAUAUAUUUAAUAAUUUUUUAAAACAUAUAAAAAUAGAUAUAAAUAUUUAUAAUAUAUCAUAACUUUAUAGAAAUAAACUUUUAACCGGAUAAUGUCCAUCAGCAACUAUGUUAGUUGUCUUAUAAAAAAAUUAAUGUUACAUGUAACAAGUGUAAAUCUUAUACCUCACGUAUUCUAAGAUUCACAAAUAUAUUUUUAGCUUUUCAGAAUUAAAAAAAAUAAUAUUAUCAAUGAAAAAAUAAUGAUUUUUGAAUAAAAUGUAAAAUUAAUAAUCUAUAAAAUAGAUGUGAGAUACCAUUGUUCUUGAAAAACAAACAAUUUGCAUUCAGUCCCCUAAAAAAAAUUCUUCACAAAUAGCCCCACCAAAUAAUUGUAGGAAUGAUUUUUUUUUUUUCUUUUUCUUUGUGCAAACAGUACACUGAAAUGGAGUGUGCAAACUCUAAUAUUAAAUUGAAUACAAUAAUUUAAUUACCGUAUUUUCUUUAACUUAGCAACGUGAAAAAAAUUUAAAAAGAUUAUCAUGAUUUAGUAAAGAUAACACAGUAGGCCAAAUACCGUGUUUUAGGAUACGGUAAAUAAAUCAUCAUACUCAAUUUAAAAUUUAUAGUUGACUUUUCUAUCUAGAGUGAUAGUUGUAUGGACAAUAAGUGUCACGCCCCGGGGUCCUUUUAUUUGUUCAAAAGCACAGCGGAAAAUUAGCUAUAAAUUUUUUUUUGAAAACCUGACCCCAGAGUGCCAGAUCCGCCACAAACACAGGGAAUCCACUGUUCCCACGGACAGAAUCUCCCCUGUAUUUGCACGGCGUCGCACAAGUACAACAGAGUAUAGAUACACACACAACCACAACCNCCAGAGGCCAAGUUUGCUUCGUGGCUUCUCCGGAAAACCGGAGUUACUAUUCACUUAAGUCGAACUUCCGGGUCUCAUAACUUCUCCACUUUAGCUCGGUUUUGCCUGAAAUUUGACGUGUGCUUAUGUAAUUAAAUUACACACAUAAAAAUCGUCAACAGAGAGUCUAAUUGCACUGUCAAAAUCUCAGUCCUUACAAUAAGAGGCUCAUUCCUGUAAUUAUAAUUUUACAAAAGUUAUUUGUAAAAUAAAAAUUAAGAAAACUAAAUGCAAAAAUAAAUUUGUAGAAAUAUCUUUGCUAAGGAGAAGAGGGCCAGAAGAAAAGAAAAAAAAUAAAAGAAAAAGAAAACGUGGCAAUUGAGGGUAUGAUAUUAUUCACUUUAUAACUAUUAAAUAUUUAGGAUUGAAUAGAUGGUCGGUAGAAUACAUAAGAAUACAUAAUUUGAGAGUUCUCUCCAAUCCACAAAGCGUUCUCUCUUUUGUUCUCGCCACGUGAGUAUGUGACAGCUUCUUCACCCUUCCACUCUCUCUCUCCCCCCUCCCCUCUUUCUCUAUAAUAUAUUUUAUGAUUUCUCUCUCUCCCCCUUCUCUCUCUUCUUUUAGGCAUAUCCUAAUUCUCACUCCCACAACUUUCUCUUAGAUUUUUUUUAUCAUAUUAUAUAUUAUUCUCUAUUCUCCCUCUCUCUCUCUCUCUCUCAUUCUCCCCUCCCCUCUUUCUCUCUGGGCCCGUUUAGUCUAAUUUCUGAAAAAAUGAUUUCUCCAGAAUUGAUUUUGGUUUGAAAAAGUGAUUUCUGUUAAAAGCUGUAGAGUGUUUGGCUGAGUCUGGUAGAAAAAUGAUUGUACUGAAGUAAUUUUAAAAAACUAUUUGGCAAUUUUUUUUGCUGAAGUGAUUUUGUAAUGUUUUUUAAUAUUAGUCAUUCUUAAAAGUAAUUAAUAUUACAUACCAAUAUUUCAAGUUAUUAAUAACUAUUUAAUAUAACAAAAGUGUGUAAUGAUAAAUAUUCAUUAUGAUAACAAUUUAUCAAAAUGUACUCAUCAAUGAUGCAGCAAUACGAUCGCGAGCUUGGGUCAUGAUAUAAUCAUCUGUUACUCCACAUUUUGCUUUCUCUCUAAAUUUAUUAACCAUAUUUUGCCAUCUAAUUCUAUUAAAAUGAGUAUUCGGUCGGUUUCCGUCAUUGAUCUCUUCAACACAUGUUUCGUAAAAAAUUUUAAAUAACGUUGCAUCCCACAUAGUUUUAAUUUUUUUUUUUUUUUGGUAGAUAGUUCUCCUUGUGAUGGAUUCAUUUUUCAGAUUUCUGGUAAACAAAUUAAAUAGUAUUAAAAGAUACAAACACAUAAAAACUCACUAAAGAUACAAACAUAAUUUUGCAUUAGAUGCAGAUCCCACCAAACAUAAUAAAAACUCACUAAAGAUAUAACUCUAUAUAAAAUAGUUUUACAUUACAUGCAGAUUGUCGAUGUAGAUCCGACCAAGCCGGCGGGAUCUACCUUUGUCGGAUCUCGCCGGUGCUGAUUCGGGCUAGGAUCCGGCAUAGCCGGAGCCCACCGGCACGAAUCCAGCCAAUGCUGGCUGAAUCCAUCUUUGCCGGAUCCCGCCAAUGCUGAUCCGGGCCCGGAUCUGGCUCAAAGGAAGAUCCGGGGCUGGAUCCGGCAAAGCCGGAGCCCACCUACGCGGAUCUGGGGUCGGGUUGAGCGUUUUAGGCAUAGAAAUCAAGAGAGGGAGGGAGAAAAAUAUGUAUGAAAAAAAAAAAGAGUGAGUAACUUGGAGGUUUGCCGAAAGGAAAGGCGUUGCCGGAGAAAAAACGUUGCAAGAGAGGAAGAAGGGAGAGAGAUGAAGAAGAAAGGAGAGGUGAGUUUUUUUUUUUUUAAGAGUGGAGAGUUGGCUGUGAAGUGGGAGAGAGGAUGGGUUGGCUGUGAAGUAAAUGGGAGAGAGGAUAGUGUAGUGGAGAAGAUGUUAUUAAUUAAAAACGGAUAUAGUAGAAUUUUAUUAUUUGUUUAGGGGUAGUUUUGGUAUUUUAAUAAAAAAUUUUAAGUGCUGAAACAGCUUGUGCAGGAAUCAGUUUUAAGAAGCAGGUUUUUCAGCUUCUACUUUUGGGGGUUGAAGAAUCAGUUUUCUGUUUUUGAGAGACCUUUACCAAACACUCUAUAGAGCCCAAAAGUGAUUUUGAACCUAAAAUUACUUUGAAAAAACUAGGCCAAACAGGACCUCUAUUAUCUAUAUCUUUUUUAUAUAUAUAUAUAUAUAUAUUAUUUGUGAGUUCCGUCAUAUUAAGAAAUUGCACCACAUUGCAACUUAAGUCAUAAACCAAUGAGAGUUUGCCACAUAUCUAACAAAAAGUUUUGGAUAGGCUAGUUGCACUAUUAAUCGAUUCUAAAAUCUGCAUCAAAAAUAAACUUUUGUAGUGCAAUAAAUUAUUGAGAUAUUAAUUUUAUAUUAUUAUAUUUUAUUUCAUAAUAUUAAUUAUCAGAUAUUAUAUUUUUAUUUUAAAAUAUUAAUUAUCAAAUAUUACAUUAAUAAUCUAAUACUCAGUGCGGUAUAUGCAGCAUUGGUAUGUACCAGGUGUAAAUAAAGAUUUCUCCUCUCUCUUGAAAUUAUGAGUUCGUCCAAUUAAUAUUCUUUGUACUAAGUGUAUACUUUUACAUACACCACAUACCUAAAAUUCUUUAAUAGAGAUUUUAAAAUUAAUUCAUCAAAUAUAAUUUACGUUAUUAGACUUCUAGAUAUAUAUAUUUAAUUAAAUUUUAAUAUUAGAACAGUAAUCUAAUAUAAGUUGAGGUGUAUGGAAUAUUAAUAUACACUAAUAGUUUCUCUUUUUUCAAUCAAUUUUAACAAUAUAAAGACACCUCAUCUAUUCUUCAAUUUGAAAUAAGUUAUCUAACUUUAAAUUUUUUGUAAAAAAAUUUAUUUAUAAAAUAACUAUCAAAACUAAAAAUUUGAUUGAAUUUUUUAAAAAAAUUAUUAGUAUAAUUUAAUUUUACAAAUGCUAAAAGUUAAGAAAAUAUCAAUAAAAAUUAUUUUUUAUAAUACACAUAAUAUUACUUUAUAAAUUUCUUAUAUUUUUUAAUUAUAAUUUUUUUAAUAUUAAUUUUUUUAAUAACUUUAAUUGUCUGAAAUAUUAACUAUCUGUCAUGCAGUGCGGUGUCACACCCCAAUAAUCCCACAUCGGAUAUAAAUGGAAAUAUGAUUGGGUAUAUAAGAGACUUAGACACUAAUAAUAAUAAUUGGGCUUAAGUAUUUUGGGCCGGUAGUUGGGCCCAACGAGUUAUUAUUGUUAGUGGGCUGGAUCGUUACAUUUGGUAUCAAAGUCAAUUCAUCCGCCGAAAAUGUGUGGCGGCUCUCGACUGAGCCAUGGUCUGAAAUACAAGGUGACCGGCUAUGUCGGGGUCUGGAUGACAAGGCUAGCAAGGCGAGUCUCACAUCGCCCGGUGAUCUUGCGGCUGAGCUAGGGUCUGAAAGAUAAGGUGACCGGUUAUGUCAAGGUCUGGGUGACAGGGCUAGCGAGACGAAUCUCACAUCGCCUGAUGAUCUUCGGCUGUGUGUGUGAUUGGGCUGACGAGAACGUCAGGGCCUUAAUAAUAACUGGGCUUAAGCAUUUUGGGCCGGUGGUUGGACCGGCGAGUUGUUAUUGUUAGUAGUCUGGAUCCUGUACUAACAGUAAUAAUCCAAGAUUCAAUAUAUUUAUCAAAUUUAUUUAUUUUUAACAGUUAAAAAUCUAAUUAUAAUAAAAAAAUAAAAAAAAUUGAGAACUAAAGUAAAAAAAGUUGCAAAAGUUGGAAACAACAGUGCGAUUAACCUUAGUUCUUGAAAAAAUAUCUUUCUAACAUUGCAAAAAAAAAAAACGCGUGGGGAAUGAGGGCCAUGCGCCUCGCAGACAAAUAGUGUCGACAUCAACGUCCCAUUAUUGUCGUUGUUUCAAGCCAGACAGUACAUCGUCCAAUCCCAUUCACUAGUGAGUAAAGAUUACAGGUGAUGUAACAUUCACCACUAAUGGUGUAACAUUUGUCCUCCCUUAUCUUGUAAACCCUAAACCCUGAACCCUUAUCUUGUCAUCCAGGUUCUUACUUAGCUGGUCAUUUGUAAAUUUUCAUUUAGCCAAUCAUUCAGAUUCUGAAUCAGUUGAGCAAACUUCCUACUAAAAAUUAUCUCUGAUACUAAUUAUAACGCCCCACUUCUCAAAAGAUCAUCUAUUCUUAAACUACUAUAGUCCUAACACAAAUAACUUCUUUAAUUUUUAAACUUAACUAUCGUCCAAAAUAUAAUAAUCAAAUUAAAAAAAUUAGUCAUAUCAUACUUUACGCAUAUAACUAUUUUAAAAUUUUGAUGCUUCAACCUAAAGAUACAAAAUAUUAUA